rnacentral:lncRNA from 1 species
AUCAAAACUGGUAGGUCAACCUCGAAUUGUCUCUUUUCAUCUUCUUCUUAUACCCCCACCAAACACCACAAAAAGAACAGUCAUCCAAUUUUUGUAAGGCAAGAUAUAACAAUCAUACCAUGCUCUAGUACAAAAUGUUGUAAAUAUUACUGAUGUCAUUGAAUGUACCUGCAUUAAAUAUGCACAUCCAGAUCUAGUUAAAGACGACAAUGCUUCUUUCCUAGAAAAUUCAGAGAUCCGCUGUUGCACUAUACCUCUUAUCUGAAUUAAAUGAAACAGAACGAGUAUUGAUUAACGAUGAAAGAAGGAGAAGAAAAAAACCAUAUAUUUAAUUAUAUAUAUAGAACUGAAAGGAGCAGCUUACUACUUACCAAGGAAAGGCGCUGUUCGCAAUAGAGUUUGUGGCAUUCUUCAAGAAGUUGAAUAUACUCUUUUCUAGGUGUUCUGCUUUCAAUUUCCUCCAGGAUAGGCUUAAGCUGCAGGUAACUAGGUUCAUUUGGUUCAUGGAUUACACGUAAAAGCUAGUCCUAGUUUCUUUCUCUUUUUUUUUUUUUUUUUGAGAUUAGAAAUACUCACUGCCAUACAACGAAUUAAUAGAGUUUCUAUUCUACUAACUAAAAGGCAAGGAGAUGUUCCAAUAUUACCUCAUUUGCUGCAGCCUUGAAUCGUACAUAUAUUAUAGAUGGCUCUAUACCCUCGGCAAAAGAUGUCUUGUUACCACCGCUGCUUCUUAUUGCAGCCUGAACCUGAUAAAAUGGGUGUAUUUAUCUCAGAAUAUGCAACCAUUCAUCUGCAAGAAAAGAUUGUAGUGCAUAAGACAGAUUUACCUGAGAAGAAGUGCUUCUAAGAACGGAAAGAACGUGAGUGCGAAUCAUUCCCAGAGCUCGAGACUGUUACAAGGGGGCCAAGGUAACACAGACAGAGAGAAGGAGAAUGGGCAAUGGGAUUAGAAUUCAUAUGUCCAAGAAUGCCAUAAAAUCAUGCCUUGUAUAAAGAAAUGCAAUUUUAUAUAUGAUAGUAAAUUACAUAAUGUUGAUGUCAAUUCUUUUAAGUACCUGAAGUUGUCGAAACUUGACCAAAUAAAUGCUGCACUCUGCAUAUUGUGGGUUACUACUCUCUACAUAUCUUCAGUGAUGCAGAGGAGAAACACAAAGGUUAUUUGUGCUCUUAUGCAUAGAUUUACAAGCUUAACUCAAUAGAACUUAAUCUUGAUAAAAGAAGUCAUAUCCCUAGAAGAAACCUGUGACUCUAGACAUGUCCACAUAGUAAACUUCACAAAUAACCAAAGAAAAGCAUGGAUGGUACAACAUUGCAGUGGUUCUAAUAUUCAUAGAUUUCAAUGCAGUAAUAUGAAAUGUAAUGUCACUUAGGAUAUGCACUCAUCAAGUCUCUUUAGCAAUGGAAGAAAAUUUGUACUACCAACGCUCAUGCUAGGAGAAUAAAAAGUGGUAGCAACCUGCAAACAAGAGUGCAAGACAAGCAUGAGGAAUCAAAUCAAAAAAAAAAAAACAUAAAACUGGGUACUUUGACAUUUGGAGAAGUUCAAGUAGGAGAAGAGCAGGACUUGAAGAGAAAAUUUAGCACAAGACAAAUCAAGUUGAUACACCAAUUAGAUGUAAUUAAACAAAAAGGAAUUAGAAAAUUUUAGUCUAAUGGUCAUGAUUAAAUCAAGAAUAUGUACAGUAGAGAGUGAAAAGCUAUUCCUCUUUAAGGAAUUUAAAAAAAGGAACUCUCAGUUCCAAAAAAAAAAAAUUAAAACAGGAACUCUCAUUCUCAAUCUCACAAGUGAAAAAGUUUUCCUUUAGAAACCACCAAGCACAUAAAUAGGAGAAAGAAGAGUUGACCAAAAGACGAGAUUAAAAAAAUCAUCUUAAAUAAAUAACUCGCUAAGCAAGAACAUCAAAAUAAUCCAAAAGAACUAGAUUGGAAAAGCCAAGACAGAAUAGCUUUGGGUGACUCAUUUGUAACAUGAGGAAGAAAACAAUCUAGAACCAAAGCUUUAUUUACAAAGGAUAAAGCUCUGCCCUCCGAUGUAUGGGUGUGGAAAAAAUUUAAUUAAAAAACAUGAAAUCUCUUGAGGCAGAAAGCUCUAAUCUCUUAAAGCUGUUUUCCAUAGUUCAAACUCUCAGUUAGGUAUAUUUCCUCACCGAGUAUCAAAGCAUAAAAAAUACAGAUAGCAUCAAUUCUCUUCACUCAAAAUAAAGUUGAUGCAGAACCAUACCUAAUUCAGAUAGGCAUAGAUAGACUACUGUGGAAAUAGUGCAAAAGGCAUUGAAUAACAAUGGAAUAUUAUCAACAGAAAUGGCAGCCGGACCUUACAUUCUCCAAUUCAUCAAAGUAAUUGAGCUUAUUGUGAAGUGAUUCUGCAAACUCAAUUAUUUUCUGCUUCUCCAAAAGCUUCAAACAAAAAAGAAGUUACACAAGAAUAUUAUUCAAUGCUGCUUCUUGUAGUUAAUUAUUGCCUCUUUACCUGUACAUCACAUGUCCAUUAAUAUUAGACACUGAUAGGGAACUCCGAAUUUCAAAUGCCACUCACUGGACAUUAGAAUACACAACAUUGACAUGAAUGGUAACUAGAUAAUGCUUUAAGACAAACAGCAACUUCAGAUAAAAGAAAAAACUAGAAAUGCAAAAUGAAGAAAUGCAUUUACAAGGUACUAGGUGGCAAUUGAAGAUGUUUGGCAACUAUAAAAGAUAUCAUAGAUUUUAAUCCAUCAAUAUAGUAGAUUGCCAAUGAAGACUUUCAACAUCAUAGAGUAAGCAAAACAAUGUUGAUUAAGAAAUUGAACUACAUAGUUACAAGCCUAUCUUCUUAUCAUACAAUUAAUUGCUCCUCUGCUCCUCAGAAUUUUGAACAGAAUGAAAGAGAAAAGUACAAUCUACAGCUAAGUAACCACAGAUGCUAAGAGAAAUGGGUUGACACACCAGUCUAUCGCACGCAUCAUGAAGAGUUCUUGUCUUUGUUGCCACUGCUUGAUGCUGCAAUUGCAACUCAUUGAACAAGUCAAGUGUUUCAUCCACCUGCAAGAGAGCCAAUUUUAAGGGCAAGGGCAUGUCGACUCGAGCAUAGUUAGAUGAACAGCAACAACAAAAGGCUUAAGAGAAGAGUAUAAGAGCAUUAUUUUUCUUCUCAGAAUACCUGGUGAAGUAUACUAUCGCAGGUCUGAAUCUGCUCUGUUAAGGUGCUGGCAUAAUGCUGAUAUUUUUCUUCAGACUAUAUAUAGAAAGAAAGCAUAUGUAAUAUCUUUUAGUCCGCAAGUGAAAAAGAUGAAACGUAUGACUCACAACUUUUGGAAGAAACGGAAGACAUAUAAACAAGCUAAAGACCAACCUCUAAUUUCAUGGCUGCUUCAAGAUCCGCGAACCACUUAUAAAACUGUAUCAACAAAAUAAACAAAGGGGAAGAGGAAACUCAUAUCAAGUUCAAGCAGCAUAAGGGGAAAGGUCAAUUAAGAUGCCAUUAAUAUCAUCAUUUACAUAGACAAUUAAGCAUAUGCAGUAUUCAAGCAUAUACAAGGCGGCAACACAAAGAUUGACAUGGAAACAAAUUUGGAAAACUGAAGCUCCUUAUUAAGUGGCUUGCUUUUGCUGGACAGCAACAUAUGAAGCAGUACUUAUAGAGCAAUUCCUUCAAGAAAGCUGCCUGAUAUAUGCAAAAAGUGUUACAUGUGUGAAAUGAGGGUUGAGGAUGUUAAUUAACUCCAACUACACUGCCUAAUAGCCUGGCAGUUGUGACCACUUACUUUUAACAUUUUUGAAAUUUAAGAAUCAUGCAAAUGCUGGGGGAGUGGGGGGCUUUACAAUAAAGAGGAGAAGAAGUGAAAUGGGAUGUAGCUCCGUUAGCUCCAGUGGUUCUUUAGAAGGAGAGAAGUAGGAGGUCUUUUGAAAGGGGUGGAUUAUGAUUUCGUACAGUUGAGAAAUAACCUCCUAUUGUUAAUUUUUUGUGCACUUACAAGUUUAUUGUGUGUAUAAAUUGUUGGUUGUCUUUCACAGAGAACUCUUUUUUAGUGAUGAGGUAUAUAAUAACAUAAUGAUCCGAAAAUCUCCUUAUCAAAAGACAUUAGGAUAAAACAAAAGGAGAAAAAGAAAAUAACUUCUAGGGCUACCAAAGUUCAAAUAUGGAGGAGAGUUCUAGAAGAAAUUUCUUUUGCAUGUCUUUCUGAUAUAUAGACACAAAACCUGCUCCACUAAAAUAGGCAGGAUCAAGGCCAUAAACAGCCACUAUGGUCAUCAUCCCUUGACCCAUCACAUGCAAUUUAGGUAUUUCUACCCCAGAAGACAUUGAGUAUCAGGGUCAUUUCUCACUAAAUGUAAGUUCUAGUCAUCCUUUGCCCGGCAUAAGGUUUACCCUCUCUAGUUAAUGACAAUCAUCCGGAACAAAUGAGACGCAUAUUAUCUAGUAAGCCAAAACAAUGGAUGGGGCUUUGUAACAAGCAAUUAUCAGGCCUUCUGCUCAACUCAUCGAUUUUAGCAGUUAUCUUAUCAAAAAGAAGAUUUCACUGGUUUAGCAGUUAUGUGUGGCAGAUGAGCCUUUGAGUAUAACACACUACAACUUCUAGUCUUGUAGAAAUAUAAGUCUAUCAUUUAGCAUUGGUUGCAAGAUUUUAUUUGUUUUGAUUCCUUGCCCAAAAUUUAGUUGAUCAUGCAACCUUUUUUAUAAGGGAAUAUCAUUCACGAUCCCUUAUUUGAAAUAUGGAAUACUAAGAUCUGCAACCGGGAAAUGUAAAAGAUAAAGGACAUGCCAACUAAAAAUUGGGUUUUUUUUAAUCAGGUAAAUAUUUUUUCAUUCAUAUUCGCAAACUGGCCAUAUACAAGGCGUAUACCAAAAGGCAAAGCAUCUACAACAAGAUAUGAUUGUCUACGAACUCCAACUAAUUAUCUAUACACCAGGUACCCCCUGUGUGCACCAAAGAAAAUAAGAGAAUGGAGACUACUCCUCAACUGGAAGGAAACUCCACUCCAGUCUUUCAAAAGUAACUCACCUGAUUUGUAUUCACUAGGACUGCUUCAAUGGCCCCUGAAUCCUCUAGAGAACUAAGCUUUGUUGAAACAGAGAGGCUGUUAUCAUGUCCAGAAACUUGGUCCUGGAAAUUGAAAUAAAAACAUAUUUCAGGUAAUUGAGUUAGAGAUAGAUAUAUUCUGAAACCAACCAAGAAGGAAAAACUCACCAAAUUGGACGGGAAAGGUCUCUCGGCAACUGCAUGGGAAAGUGCUUGUAUGGCUGCUGAUUGUUGCUCUGUUAACAGAGCAUUCUGUAAGAAAAAUACUAGCUCAAGUCGUUGUAGAAUAUAAACAUUAAGAUAGCCACUAAUGUUGAUUUAAUUAAUCAAAAGGAAUAACUUUCAAUAGACAUGAAAUAGACACAUGUAGUACGUACAAACAAUUCUUCUCUUUUACUACAAACAAUAUAAUUUGACAUGAUGAGGGCCACAAACACAAAAUAGAAGAUCAAAUCCAGGAUAGAGGUUGUUAGAAUAGGAAUAAAUAUUUCUUACUUAGAAUAGGAAUUACAAUAGGAAUUCUAGUUGGAAAAGGUUUUCAAUGUAGUGUCUAUAAAUAGGGUCUUCAUGUAACAAUUUAGAUGCGCAAUUCAAUAAUAUUUUCUCCAUUAUUUCUCUCAUGGUAUCAGGGCAUUGGUGAGAAACAAACAAUUCAAUUUCCGGUGACGUUUGGGACUGAUUUUAUCAUUUUUUAUUUAGUGGGUGUUGUGCGAAAACCAACACCAACACGAGGCUAGGAAACCUCCCGCGACCAAACCCCAGCAAGAACCACCAGAAAACAGCACCGCACGCGCCCUCACGCGCCGAUCGAAGGUGGCAGAUUCCGGCGAGAUCUGGCUCACUCGCCGGCGCGUGAGGACUUUUCCGUCCAUAGUCUUUGAGAUUUUUUUCGACAGGUGGGGUCGUCCAGCCAUUCCGACCCAGACUAUACUGUUUUUGACCAUUUUUAUUUAGAUUCGAUCACCGAAAUUAGGGUUGCGGUGAUUUUUGGGCAGCUUCCGGCGCGUGAGUGCUGCUCGGGUCUCUCUUCUUUUUUUCGAGUUUCUCUCUUCUGUUAGGGUCGUCCAGUGUUUUCGGUAAGAACCAUACAGUUAUCUCUAGAUCCGAUCACCGAAAUUAGGGUUCCGGUGAUUUUUUUUGGGCAGUUCCCAGCAAAAUUCCGGCAAUAUCAGAAUUUUUCAGGCCACUGCGGGCAGAUUUCGGCAGCUUCCAAUAUUUUCAGACUUGUGUAGCAGCUUCUGGCAGUUCCAAGCGUACAUACAAAUCCAUGGAGAAUAGACGGGGGAGAGAAUUUUUUGAAAAAUCUCGAUCUAAGUGUAGUCAUGUCAUAAACCUGGACACACUCGUGACAUAUGUUUUAUUUUGCAUGGUGGAUCACCCAGUUAUGAUCCUGUUGUUCUAAAGGAAUAUAUAGAGUUUUUUCCGUAUUGUGCAAAUAAACAAACGUCUCUACAAGUAGUUUCGAUUGCAAAACCUAAUGUUUCUGUUGCGGGUAAUAUUUUGUACUAGUAUAUCACAGUCUAACACUAUUGGAUCAUGGGUCAUAGAAUCGGGGGCUUCUGAUCAUAUCACUGGUAAUAAAUCACUUUUAUCUGAUAUAAUCUAUUCAUAAUCUCUUUCAUCUAUUACAUUAGCCAAUGGGAUACAAACAAAACCAAAAGGGGUUGGAAAAGCCAAACCCAUAUCUUCUGUCACUCUUGACUCUGUUCUUUAUGUCCCUGGUUCUCCUUUUAAUCUAGCAUCGGUUAGUCGUUUGACGAAAGCCCUACAUUGUAGCAUAAUUUUUUUGAUCAUUUCUUUCUCAUGCAGGACCGCAGUACAGGACAGACUAUUGGAACAAGAUAUGAAUCACAAGGCCUUUACUAUCUUACCUCUUCUAAUUCUUUAAUAGCAUGCUCCGUUACAGAUUCCUCAGAUCUAAUUCACAAACGUUUGGGACACUCAAGUCUAUCCAAAUUGAAAAAGAUGGUACCUAGUUUGUCUGGUUUAUCCACAUUAGAUUGUGAGUCGUGUCAAUUUGGGAAACACACUCGUGCUACAUUUUCUCGUAGUACUGAGGGUCGUUCAGAGUCUAUUUUUUCAUUAGUUCAUUCUAAUAUUUGGGGUACUAGUAGAGUCAGUUCCCCCUUAGGAUUUCGUUAUUUUGUUAGUUUCAUUGAUGAUUAUUCGAGAUGCACUUGGGUUUUCUUAAUGAAAGAUCGUUCUGAGUUAUUUUCUAUUUUCAAAGUUUUCUUUGCUGAAAUACAAAAUCAGUUUGGUGUUUCUAUUCGUACAUUCCGUAGUGAUAAUGCCUUAGUAUACUUAUCACCCCAAUUUCAGGAAUUUAUGUCUCACCACGGAAUCAUUCACCAAACAUCUUGUCCAUACACUCCUCAACAAAAUGGUGUCGCAGAAAGAAAGAAUAGGCAUAUCUCAUAGAGACUGCUCGCACUCUCCUCAUAGAAUUGCCAUGUUUCGAUGCAUUUUUGGGGCGAUGCAGUCCUUUCUGCUUAUUAUUAAAUUAACAGAAUGCCCUCUUCUUAUAUUCAAAAUCAUGUUCCAUAUUCCAUAUUGUUUCCUCAGUCACAUCUUUAUCCUAUCCCCUCUCGUGUCGUUUGGAGUACAUGCUUUCUUCAUAAUUUAGCCCCAGGAAAAGAUAAAUUAGCUCCUCGUGCCUCAAAUGUGUCUUUCUUGGUUACUCUAGAGUUCAAAAAGGAUAUCGUUGUUAUUCACAUGUUCUUCACCGAUACCUUAUGUCUGUUGAUGUUACAUUUUUUGAGUCUCAGCCUUAUUAUACAUCUUCUGAUCGUAGUGAUGUCUCUAUGGUCUUACCCAUACCUCAAAUUUUACCUGUGCCAACCUUUGAGGGAUCUACAGUUACGUCUACAUCUCCAGUUGCAGUGCCACCACUACUAACUUAUCAUCGUCGUCCACAUCCAACCCUAGUCCCAGAUGAUUCAUGUCAUGCGCCAGACCCUGCUCCUACUGCGGACUUGCCUCUACCUAGCCCACCGCUUGCACUUCAAAAAGGUAUACAAUCUACUCGAAAUACUAACCCGCAUUUACCUUCUUAAGUUAUCAUCAUAUAUCAUCACCCAUUAUGCCUUUGUGUCGUCAUUGUCCUCUAUUUCCAUUCCUAAGACUAUAGGUGAAGCACUUUCUCAUUCUAGAUGGAGGCAGGCUAUGGUUGAUGAGAUGUCUGCUUUACAUAAGAGUGAUACUUGGGAGCUUGUCUCCCUUCCUGCAUGUAAAUCUACUGUUGGUUGUCAUUGGGUUUAUGCAGUCAAAAUUGGUCUAGAUGGUUAGGUUGAUCGACUUAAGGUUCUCCUUGUCGCCAAAGGGUAUACUCAGAUAUUUGGGCUAGAUUAUAGUGACACUUUUGCUCCUGUGGCUAAAAUAGCAUAUGUUCGUCUUUUUCUAAUCUAUGGUUGUUGUUCGUCAUUGUCCUCUUUAUCAGUUGGACAUAAAGAAUGCUUUUCUGCUAGUGAUCUUGAGGAAGAAGUCUAUAUGGAGCAACCACCUAGUUUUGUUGCUCAGGGGGAGUCUAGUAGCCUUGUAUGUCGAUUGCGUAGGUCACUCUAUGGUCUGAAACAGUCUCCUCGAGCUUGGUUUGGGAAGUUUAGCACAGUAAUUCAGAAGUUUGGCAUGACUCGUAAUGGAUCAAAUCACUUUGUGUUUUAUCGACAUUCUGCACCAGGUCGAUGUAUCUAUUUGGUUGUUUAUGUUGAUGAUAUUGUUACCACUGAUAAUGAUCAAGACUAUAUCACCGAUAUAAAGCAACAUCUUUUUAAGCACUUUCAGACAAAAGACCUUGGUAGAUUGAAGUAUUUUCUAGGUAUUGAGGUUGCUCAAUCUAGAUCAGGCAUUGUUAUCUCUAAACACAAGUAUGCCUUAGACAUUCUUGAGGAGACAGGAAUGAUGGGAUGUACACCUAUUGACACUCCGAUGGAUCCGAAUGUUAAACUUCUUCCGAGACAGGUGGAGCCACUUAGUAAUCCUUAAAGGUAUAGACGACUUGUUGGAAAGUUGAAUUAUCUCAUAGUGACUAGACCAGGCAUCUCUUUUCCCGUGAGUGUUGUAAGUCAGUUUAUGACUUCCCCUUGUGAUAGUCAUUGGGAAGCAGUUGUUCAUAUUCUUCGAUAUAUAAAGUCAGCCCCCGGCAAAGGACUACUCUUUGAGGAUCAAGGUCAUGAGCAUAUUAUUGGAUAUACAGACACUGAUUGGGCAGGAUUACCCUCUAACAGACGUUUGACAUCCGGAUAUUGUGUUUUAGUUGGAGGUAAUUUGGUGUCGUGGAAGAGUAAGAAACAAAAUGUGGCUUCUCAAUCUAGUGCAGAAUCAGAAUAUCGAGCAAUAGCGACAGCAACUUGUGAGUUAGUUUGGCACAAAUAAUUACUGGGAGAACUAAAAUUCGGCAAAAUUGAUCAGAUGGAACUUUUGUGUGAUAAUCAAGCGGCUCUUCAUAUCGCAUCAAAUCCAGUGUUUCAUGAAAGGACUAAGCACAUUGAGAUUGACUGUCACUUUCUCAGAGAAAAGAUACUCUCAGGAGAUAUUGUUACAAAAUUUGUGAAGUCAAAUGAUCAGCUUGCGGAUAUGUUCACUAAGUCUCUCACAUGUCCUCGUAUUAAUUACAUCUGUAACAAGCUAGGUGCAUAUAAUUUGUAUGCACCAGCUUGAGGGGGAGUGUUAGAAUAGAAAUAAGUAUUUCUUACUUAGAAUAGGAAUUCUAGUUAGAAAAGAUUUCCAAUGUAGUGUCUAUAAAUAGGGUCUUCAUGUAACAAUUUAGAUGAGCAAUUCAAUAAUAUUUUCUCCAUUAUUUCUCUCAAAGGUGAUUUUCCAAUAGCUAUUGCAAGAAUAAGCUAAAAGUAAAAGUUUCAGCAGCUAGUUAGCCGGUGGUUAUACGAGGAAAAAGAGAAGCAGUGUCACAUUACAAUGAAAAUAAAACUUCAAAAGAUAGUUCAACGGAGAAUAUGCGACACAAUCACCAGCAGCUAAACCUUGCCGUUGAAAUGAGACGACAAACACAUGUUAAAAUCAACUGAGAACUUUAUCGCACAAAGAAACAAUUCUGAUCCUCCUUUUUUUCACCUUUUUUGGGUAAGUGAUAAAAUUUAUUAGAGAAACUUAGUACCAAGAUAUUACUAAGAUAUAGUUAAAAGAUUUGCUGGAUUUUCUUAAGCUGUAAGGAAUCCAAGAAAUCAAGCAAUAAUCCAAUGUAAUUUGAUCCCCUUUUCCAAUCACCGCUUUACUAUUCAUUAUUUCAACAGGAUCAGUGCAUAUGAUAAAAAUCCGGUCAUCAAAAUUUGUCAUAGAAUCAGAUAUCUACAUAAUUUUGGUUAUGCGUUCAAACAAAUCUAGUAAAUCUGGAGAAAAUCUGAACAAUGUAGAAAAUAGAGAGUGAACCUGUUCCCAAGUAGAAGCGAAAUUAUAGCCUUUGGAAACAGCUUCGGACUUGAGAACCCCCGGCCUUGUCGUUGCCGCCAUAGUAUUAUCAUCACUCUCUUCUUCCACUACUUUGCAACUGUUUCUGUUCGUGUAAAAAGUAAAACGAAACAGAAUUGAUGAAAAAUGAGGGGGAAACGGACUGUGUAGUAACUAGUCAAUUACUGAUACCAAAACAAUCAAUACUACAGAUGAUUGUAGCCAUCACCAUAUGGAUUUUGGAGCUUCAAUGGAAGCAAUUUCGACUUCGAAGUUGAAAAAAAGGGUGAUUUGAACGAUGAAGUUGGAGAUCUGGGAUGAUCCUCUGGCUUAGCUUUGGGUUUUCCGCUCAUAUGAAAAUUACAGUAACGACGUUCCUUUUCUUCAAAAUUCAACAUAGACCAAAACUGGAGAAAAUUAAAUGAAUGGCGUCAAACAACUCUUUGGUUUUUGGUGACAGAUUGUCCAAAGAGUUUGGUCAAAUUUAUUUUAAAAUGUAAUUAAGUAAAUUUGAGAUUAAAUUAAUAUUUUUAAGAUUUUUUAGUCUUUUAUAAAAUAUAAAAUAGCACUUCAUUUUUUCAACUUUUAUAAUUCUAUUCAAAUCAAUUUAUUUAAAAAAUAAAUGAAAAUAAAAUUUUCUCUUCUUCUUCUCUCAAUGUUCUCUCUUCUCUUCUUCCUCCUCUUGAGAAAAUUUGAAAAUUCGACUAUUAAAAUAAAUAUUUUAUCCCAUUAUCUUAUCUUCCUUCUCAUCUCCGGUUGUGACUCUCUUCUCUUUUUGAGCUGAAGAUUGUGUUCGAAUUAAAAUGAGUAAGUCAUAUUUUUUGAGAGAUUUUACAAUUUUGGAACAAUACUAAGCGUUUUUUGUUAAUAAAGAAUAAAUCGUUCUAUAGAUGUGAAAAAUGAAUAAUAGUGUAAUAGUACCUAUUAUUUAUUAAUAGUACCUAUUACUUAUUGUUUUAGAAAGAAAAUUAACAAACACAAAAAGUCAUAAUUUUGAGAAAAUAUAUAUGUAAUGUUAAUAUUCAGGGAAAAUUCAUUUUUUGUUGUUUUUGUUGUUCUGUUAUGACCAUUUUGUUCAUAUGAUUUAAGAAAUAUAGUUUUGUUCAGUUGUCCAACAAAUAUUUGAAGUGUAGAUCGAAAAAAAUUAUUUCUCUAUCACUAUUUAUAAUUGGUGAAAGAAAAAAAACAAUGACUACUGUUCUGUAUCACGCUCAAACCCGAAAGGCAAGGAGAACAAGGAGGAGAAGGAGAAGGACCUAGAGAUGGAGAAUGAGAGAUUGAAAAAGAAAGCGAAAGAGAAAGAGAAAAAAGUCGAAGUCGUCAAUUGUGAUGUGAAACAACAAUAUCCACCGUUAAUUAGAUUGAUGGUUAUGUAUAUCAUUGUGAAUUAUCUUUUUUGUUGAUAAGUUGUAUAAAACAAUUGGUGAAGUGUAUUUUUGCUGAUAAUAUGAAUGAUUUUUUUGUUGAAACAAAUGUCAAUUAUGAUGAAAAAGAAGAAAUGUGGUGUAUAUGGCAAAAUAUAUAACCUAUGUUGUAAAAAACACCACAGAAUUAUCUAGAUGUGCCCUAACAGAAAGGACAUAUGUGGCAACAUAUAUAACCUAUGUUGUAAAAAAUGCCUCAAAAUUAUCUAAAUGUGCCCCAACAGAAAGGAUAUAUGUGGCAACAUAUUUCACAGAAAGAAGAUAUGUGGCAACAUAUGUCACAUAAAAAAGAUAUGUGGAAAAUAUGCCACAGAAAAGAGAUAUGUGGUAACAUAUGUCACAGAAAGGAGAUAUGUGGCAACAUUUCACUGUUAUCAAUGUUAUAUGUGGCAACAUUUCACUGUUAUCAAUGUUGUCUGUGGCAACAUAUAUAACCUUUGUUGUAAAAAAAUUUAUAAAAUUAUCUGUAUGUACCCCAACAGAAAGGAUAUAUGUGGCAAUAGAUAUCACACUAUAAAUUGUCAAAAAAAAAUUAAAAAGUAAAAUAAAGAUGUAUAAAACAAUCGUCCCUUCAUUUUCUCUCUCUCCUCUCCUCUAUAAAAGGUCGUUUUGUUUCUUAUUUCAAAUUUCAUUUAUUUUUACUAAUUUUUGUUUUCUUUUCUCUCGUUCCAUUAUUUCUUUAAGUUCAAAUUGUUGCUAUGUUUUCUACAACAUCAGUGAUAACAUGUUGCGAUUUUCUUCUACAACAAAGCAUCGUUGCCCUCAUCAUUUCUAGUUUAUCAUUGAUAUCUCCUAAGAUAAAAUUUAAUAGUUAUUGCUAUUAAAUCAGAAUUUUUUUAGUGGUUUUUAUCACUUAUUUGUUUGUAGGAUGGUUGUGUUGUUAUUCUUUUUGGAAUAUUAUCUGAUUAAAAAAUGCAUUUUAGGAUGUAUAUUGCCACAUGUGACAUGUCUGUUGCAAUUUUCCCAACAGAAUGUGCAUAUAUUGUCAUAUAUGUCACUUCAAGGUUGACUUCAUCGAUAAAUUGAGCGAUUUAGGAAUGAAAAAAUGUCAAAUUGGAUCAAAUUUUAGUACUUCAGACCAUAAUUAAACAAUAAAAUAUGUUAUAAACACUUGGAACAACAAUUUACAUGGGUUUUAUAUAACCAUCAUAUCAAAUUAUUUGGUAAUUGUAUGAUGAACUAGUGAUAUGAUAGUCUUUGUAAAAAUAAAUGAUAAAAUUAAUGAAAGUUGUUGUAUUAGAUCAUAUUUUUAUGCUUAGACAUGUUGUAUGACUAUAUAUUAGUGAAUUAGGUGACAAUAUAAUUGAAUUAACCACAAAAAGACCAUUUUAUGAUAUACAUAUGCUGUCACAUAUGACAUGUCUGUUGCAAUUUUUCCAACAGGAUGUUCAUAUGUUGCCACAUAUGUCACUUCAAUAAUGUGUUAAUCGAUAAAUUGAACGAUUUAGAAAUGAAAAAAUGUCAAAUUGGAUCAAAUUUUAGUACUUUGGACUAUAAUUAAACAAUAAAAAUAUGCUAUAACACUUGAAACAACGAUUUACAAGGGUGUUAUAUGACUAUCAUAUGAAGUUACUUGCUCAUUGUAUGAUGAACUAGUGAUAUGAUAAUCUUUGUAAAAAUAAUUGAUAGAAUUGAGGAAGGUUGUUAUAUUAGACUAUAAUUUUGUACUUAGACAUGUUUUAGGACUAUAUAUUAGUGUUACAUAUUGAAUUAGGUGACAAUUUAAUUAAAUUAACCCUUCAAAAACGAUUUUAUGAUGUACAUAUAUUGCCAUAUAUGACAUUUCUGUUGCAAUUUUUCCAACAGAACGUGCAUAUGUAGUUUCAAUGAUGGUUUAAUCAAUAAAUUGAGCAAUUUAGAAUGGAAAAAUGUCAAAUUGGACCAAAUAUUAGUACUUUGAACAUAAUUAUACAAUAAAAAUAUGGUAUAACACUUGAAACAACGAUUUGUAAGGGUGUUAUAUGACUAUCAUAUGCAUGAUGAACUAGUGGUAUGAAGGUUGUUGUAUUAGACCAUAAUUUUGCAACAUAUUGUAGGACUAUAUAUUAGUGAUACGUGUUGAAUUAGGUGACAAAUUAAUUGAAUUAACCCUUCAAAGACCAUUUUAUGAUAUACAUAGUGAUACGUGUUGAAUUAGGUGAACAAAUUAAUUGAAUUAACCCUUCAAAGACCAUUUUAUGAUAUACAUAUGUUGCCACAUAUGACAUUUCUGUUGCAAUUUUUCCAACAGAAUGUGCACAUGUUGCCACAUAUGUCACUUCAAGAAUGACUUAAUCGAUAAAUUGAGCAAUUUAGGAAUGAAAAAAUGUCAAAUUAGACAAAAUUUUAGUACUUUGAACCAUAAUUAAACAAUAAAAAUAUGAUACAACGCUUGAAACAAUGAUCUACUAGGGUAUUAUAUAACUAUCAUGUCAGUUGCGACCUGUAAGUCAUAUGUUGCUACCUGUCUAGCUUAUAUGUUGCAGCUUGCGUAAGUUAUAUGUUUCACAUAUGUCUAUUCAGUUGCUAUUGAAAUAACUUUUUAGUUGCUACAUAUGGCUAUAAUUUAUUCCAAUAGUCAAUUGUUGUAAUAUAUAGCAAUCUGUUGAAAACGUGAAUGCAAAUUAUUAAAAAAUUGCAGGUACCCAGAUGAUGAUGAAUGAUUUCAAAGAAAUAUUAAUUUUACAUAUCAAAACAACUCAAUUGAUAGCAAACGAAAUCUGGUCCUGUGAUUAAAUUAGGUAAAUCUGAUUCAAGAAGAAGAAAAGAACAAAGCUCAAGGAUUAGCAGCCAAGACCAAUAAUAUAUGAAAAAAAGAAGAAAAAUAUAAAGAGAACAGGAAGAAAGACAAGCAAGCAAGCAAGAACGAAGAAGAAGAAGAAGAAAAUGAAGAAGAAGAGGAAGAGGAAUACGACGAGAGGUGGGGCAAAAGUAUUUUAUUUCCCCUUUUGGUACAGCUUGCUGGUGGCUUCCCCCAAUUUUAAUUCCAACCAAAAUUGGUUAAAUUAGAUUUUAGUCAAUUUACCCUUUUACUCUAAUUCAAUGGACCAAACAUCAACUUAUAAACUUGAGGUCAAAUCCAUAAUCCUUAAUCAUUAAGCACAUAAUUGUCACCUACACCCAAUACUUAAGAUUUAUGUCUCUGCCCAUUUAUUUUGAAACCUUGUGGUCACUUUUUUUUAAAAGUCCCCCAAGACUGUUUAACUCAAUCCGUCUUACUUCAUCAUUUUGUUUUUAUUUUUCUACUUUAUAUUUAAAAAUCAUAAAUAAUAAUAAUAAUUUAUUAAAUUUGCCCUCUUAAAAAAAUGAGAAUUUUAUUAACAACAGAGAAGGCCCAAAACUUUCUUUAAACUAUCCGAAGUAGAUUAAAUAUACUUUUAAACUAUAUUUCAGCUCGAAAAAUACUAUUUUCAUCAAAUUAUUAGGCCACACACACAAACUAGUCGAUCCAAGCCGUUAUAGCAUCAUUCGGGGUUCAAUUGGAUAGCUAUAGCGGAGUAAGUUGUUGUAAAUAUAAGGAAACCCCUCAAAAUCGCUCAUAAUCACCCCAAGAAUAUAAGUGUGGCCCUUGAGUAUGGCUUGAAUUCAUUAUAAGGUAAGGAAAAUUUAGUUUUAUAAGGAUUUUAGGGUGUAAGACUUUGGGCUAAUCUUAAAAAUGGUUGUUAUCGAUUUAUUUACCGCAAUUCACUAAUGUAACCAUGAAACAGGUAGUUUUAGGUAAUUAAAGGUGGAAACAUUCUAGUUUUGGUGGAAAAUUCAUGAGGACGGAUUAGGGUUUGAAAUUUAGAGAUGAUCUAUAAAUAUUUAGGUCAUUUGUCAUUGAUUUUGUAUUAUUCUAUUAUUUUUGACCAAAAGCAAGUUAAAGUUUCACAAAAAGGAGUCAAUGUUUGCAAUCGAACUUCUAGAGAAGUUGUUUGACGCCCAGAUAGGCUAGGUUAUCUUUACUAAGUAGUCAGACAUGUUUUAUAUUGCAUGGUAUUUUGUAAAUUCACGGUAAGUUUCAUGCGUAGGCCUUCAAACUUAGGGCCGGGAUGAUUAAGAUUGUUAUUUAUUGUUGUCAGGCGGAAAAAGUUAAUGACUAAGGUGUGUUAUGUAGUUUUGAUUUUUAACCUUAGGCUUACUUGUCAAGGUAGUUUUGUGGUAAUGUAAGGUCAAGUGUUCUGAAAAUUUUGGAUUAUAGACAUUUCUAGAACUUGUGGUAAUCAAGAAUGGGCUUAUGUGUACUCAUAAUGAGACAUAGUACUAGGUCAUUGUUAUAUAUGUGAUGGUUUGUGUUGUCCAAUAUAUGUGUAUAGACAAUUUACUGCCUAUUAGUAUCACUUGUGUUGGAAAUCAUAGGGAAGGAUAAUAAACCUAUUUAUGUGACUUGUGGUUUCAACCGUUAUUGUUCAAUGUAUUUGAGAUUGUGCAUGAUUUUUUGUGUUUGUUGAUUGGUCCAGGAACACACUGAUACAUGAAUAUUAACGGUUGACCCAGAUACCAUGCCUGAAUGAUUACAAACUCUAGUUGGCUUCAGUACCACGCUAAUACAAAAAUACUAAUAAUUGGAUCGGAUACUUCGUAUAAUAUGAAUACUAACCGUUGAAUCGAAUAUCAUGCCUUGUUUGUUUUUAUAACCCUAGUUGGUUUGAUAACUACACUGAUACACUAACACUUUGAGUGUGGAUUCUAGGAGAGAACAAAAUUUACAUGUUGGUUCCAUGAGUGAACUGAAUUUACCUCUUCAUAAUGUGAUUGUUGCAUGUAGGCCACUGAAUGGGAUUUGUGUUUAAAUAUUGGAAUGAUUCUUGUAAAGAUCAUGUUUGCAUGCUAAACAAUGUGGAUAGUAUUUUACAAAUCCUUGAUGAUCCGAAUUACUUGAAAGAUAUGAUGAAUCAGGUAUAGCUUGUUGUGUUGAUGUUAUUCAAGAUUAUUGUGCAUAUAAACUUGAGGACUAGGAGCCUAGUCUAUACUAUACUGUUAUUUAUCUAUUUUGCUAAGUUAUUGUUACUAGGUCGGGCUGAUGACUGGGGUCUAGUGUAUAGUUUAAGUUGUUGGGACUCUUUAUAGUUGUUUAGUAUAUAGAACAUAUCUAAUAAAGAUGAUUUGAGUCAAGAUGGCCGAGUUGGUCUAGGCGUCGGUUUCAGGUACCGAUCUAAAAGGACAAGAUUAUUAAUAUGAGAACUUGAGAAAGAAUAGUAGGUUGGUUACGUGGUUAGUGGUGGUCUUGCAUUCAAGAAUCUCUAUAUGAUAGAAGGGUUGGGUUAUGAUUUGAUAUAGAGUGACAUUAAAGAAAGGUUUUAGAAACAUUAGGGUGACAUAAUAAGUAGGCUUGAGAAGCCUUAAAGUGCAUCAAAGAUAGACUCGUGAAGCCUUAAAGUGUAUCAAAGGUAGGCUUGGGAAGUCUUAGGAUGAAAUAAUAGGUAGGCUUGAAAAGACCUACGGUGUCAUACAUAUAGGUUUAGAAAGCCAUAGGAUGACAUAACAAGUAGGCUUGGGAGAGUGGCAUAAGGGGUAGGUUUGGAAAUCAUUGAGUGGCAAGAUGAUUGAAUGUUUAUUGGUAUAGUUGGCAGCUGAAUAAGGUAUAGGCUUGGAUCAAAGUGUACUAGUUUAUGGACAUUAUGCCCGGAUGGUAAAAGCAUGUGGAUGUAGAUAUGAUGUGAUGUAACUUUCAUGUUAUUUCUAUUGAUACUACUCUUGUUAUGUCACUUGACAUAAUAUAGUUGCAUGAUUUCAAUGGUGUUUCAUAAGUGAAAAUGGUGAUGAUUUUCGACAGCUUCUACUCAUUUUACUUAUGUUGAGACUUGUGUCUUAUUUGUUUUAUAAAUACUUUUGAAAGCAUUUGUACCUAUUUAGAAUAGUUUCUUGGACAAAGUAUUUUGUUAUUCAUCAAGUUAAGAGUAUUUUCCAUGAUUAAAUAAGAUGUUUUAUUAUGUUUUAUUAAUUUCUGCAUUGAUCAUUUUUAAAUUGGAUGGUAAGAAUUCUCUUAUCUAGUUAUUAGAGUAGGUGCCUGCACAACCCGGUGAAUUAGAUCGUGACACAAAUGUAGUGGUCUUAAUUUUUUGUCCCCAUAGGAAAAGUCUUAAAAGAAUGACAUUCUUUCCACUUUAAGUAGAGUAAAAGGACAUUUUUCUAAUGCUUUUUAAACAAGGAAUUUAAAAUGUCUUUAAUGUAUCCUAAACAACUUUAAAAUGUCAUCCUUCUAUCUAUUGGUUCCAGAAAUAUCUUCAACGUUUUUUAAGAUUUAAAAUUAUCUUUAUUAACAACACAGUGACAUGGCAAAUAGUGGGCCAUUUAUUUAGACAAAUGACUUCAUUUUAGUGGUCAAUUUAAAAAUUUUAAACCAAAUACAUGACCGGUCUGAACUACAAAACUCAAACCCACCUAGCAAUCAUUUUCCAUAUUAACCUUAUAACCUAUCUUUGUACUCCCUUUUAUAGCAAUUCACAAUCUUUAUCGUAGCAACCCAAUGAUAGUGGUCUAGGUUACAAAUCACAACACCUUGUACGUAUGUUCUUCGUAUAAUACUAUUUAGGGUCUAUUAGAAACGUAAUCAUUCACCGACCUAUUUUCUUGUAUUGAAUUUCUAACGAGGAAUUUUAAUUUUAAAUGACUGUAAAUUCAAGAUAAUUUCUUCAAAGUAUACCAAACAAAUUGAAUUCAAAAACUUGCUUAUACAGAAAAAAAAAAGACAUGUAGAAUCUCCGGCUGAUAUUUAUCAAUAUCCAAGUCGUAAAAUGAUUGGCAAGCCAUGCAAAAACAUCUACUCAACAAAUCUUGAUCUAGAGAACAAAUUGAUUAUCCAAACAUUGUAAUUGGUCCAAUGACUAUGAAGUCAUCCUAUUAAUGGUUGGUACAAUACCUCCCAUCUCUUAUCUAUCUAAACUAAUCACCUCCAUUACACCUUCCUUAUCUUCCUGGUGAAUCUAUUUUAGCAAAGGUUAAUAAUACUCUUCUGAAUAGAGAUCUCAAGCUACAACUACUUAAACAUCACCUAUUGAGUGCUCAACACUGGAUGAAGCAACAUGCUAAUUCUCACAGGAGUUACAGGCGUUAUGAAGUAGGUGAUUGAGUGUACUUCAAAGUACUAGCAAGUCAACUAUUGCACGUCAUUCAUUCCAUAAGUCGGCUACUAAGUACUAUGAGCCAUUUCAGGUUCUUAGGUCUAGUUGCUUGCAUUCUCUUAUAGUUUCCUAGUUCAAUGAAGAUCCAUCCCACAGUUCAUGUUUCCCUAUUAAAGAAGUGUCAUGAAAUCUCAGAUCAAAUAUUUUUACCCCCCUUGUCGCUGAUUUGGCCAAUCCACACUGCCCUGUUCCUGAGUUGGUCAUAGGAUACAAUCCUAUGUUGCUGCUUGGGAGUUUGCCACCACCUUAAAGACCAGAUUCUCAUUAUUUGAUCAAUUAGGGACAAGAAUCUUGUAUUGGAAGGGAGUACCGAUACACGAUUAAAAGAGAAGAAGCCAAAUUCAAUUGUGGUUACAAUUCCAUUUAAGAGCAAUUAGUUGGUAACAGAUUUUGUUAUUAGCUUAUAAAGAGCUCAAUUUAGUUCAAUUCAACUAUUGUAUAGUUUGUAAUCAACUUAUUGUACUAUCAUGAUAUAAAAUAUACAAAUUCCUCUAUUAGAUCCUCCUUUUCUUCUUCAUCCUUGUUAAGUGUUCUCGAGAAACUCAUGAUACAGUGCUUUGAUCCUACAAUUGAGUAACACCUUUUUAUUCAUGGUGAAUUCCACCCUCUUUUUAUCCCCAGCAUGUAUGCAGCAAACUUUUACACAAUUUUAAAAUGUAAAACAGGAAAAAGUAGAUACAAUCUUGGACAAUAGAAUGCACCCUCCUUCCUUUUACUUUAGGUUCUUUAGUUUCUCUUGUGAACAUACAGAAGGUCCUUUAGUUUCCCUUGUGCUAAAUAAAUCUUAGAACAUACAAAAUGAGAUGCCAAAAAGACACAAAAAGAGAAGGAGCAUUUACAUUUAGUAGAAGAAAGGAAUAUUGUUCUACAAAAACUGCAGAGUGUUUUCAUAUAGCAUACUUCUUUUUAUGGUUAACUAACCUUCAAAACGAUGACAAAAUCGUACACCAAGUAGGAAACAAAAAAUAGUACUAGUAGUAAACAAUGUGCUGAUCACACAUUUAGUCCUUUACAUCAGUGACUCCUUCAACAGAAAUUUGAAAUCUUGCUUCUGCUUCAGCUAAGCAUGGCGAACUGACUACUUUACAAAUCCGCUCCUCGGCCCUACCCUUCCUCAGAGCUAGUCUGUCAGAAUUUGAAGAGAGUAAAAUAUCAGCUAUCAAGAUAAGCUGCGCCUGCAAGUUAUAGUUGUACUAUUAUGCGUACCUCGUCGUAGAAGCAUGUGCCAUGAUGUUGCCACCAAUGGGUUUUAUUUGAGGCCCAGCAAAUACAGCAGAACCAUCCACUUGAGCAACAACUUGGUUCGUAAUAACAACAGCAACACCAAACUGCAAGUGUAAAAGUAAAGGAUAGAUAGAAAAAGUAAGUCAAGAACCCCUAAUCUAAUUCUAAAACAUUAACCACCACCAAAGAGAGAAAAAUAGGAAGGAGGAGACUCCAUUUUGGAUAAUAUGCACAAAUGAGGGACAUGCUAAAUACCUCAUCUGCUAACUUCUGAAGGCUUCUCAGAAACUUUGCAAGAUGCAUCUGCCUGGCAGACAACUCUCCUCUCCCAGAGAAGUCAGUUCUAUAAAGGGCAGUAGCACUGUCCACAAUCAUGAGAGCAAACCUGCUUGAUCAAAACAGUUUUCAAAGUUAAGCUUCUAUCAGAGAUCUUUUUUAUGCUUUGAUGAGAUGAACCCAAAUAACUAAGGAAGCCACAAAUUCAAGAUUUUCACUAUAUUCAGGAAGCAAAUUUUUUUUUGAAUUCUAGAACACUUCAAAAAGAUUUAUUUGUUUGAAACAGGUGAGAGCACACUUCAAACAGAUCCAAGAUGUAUCCAAACAUGCAUUAGAUGUAAGAUGGACAUCCAUAAUCAAACAAAUUGAGAGCUGCUUCAAACUAGAACCCUUCAACAUACUCAAUCAAGAGUUGGAAUAUUCUCUAAAAGAUAUAAUCUAAGCACAUUUUCUUGCUCAAAGUAUCACAGCCACUGAGAAGCAUGAGAAAUUUUUUUCAUAAAUGAGCAGUGGAAUAUGGAGAAAGUUAACCUGGUCUCCACCAUCAUUGAGGCUGCCUCAAGCAAAAGUCUUGAUUGAUGAUCGGUAUUAUAAGCUCGAGCAUAGGCUACAUUCUCCAGGACAUCAGGACCAUUCAAUCCAUACCUGCAGCAUUUAACCCCACUGAUGACAACAGUUUGAACUUCAUAAUACCAGAAAAACAUGUGAGUUGAGUUACUAGUAGAAGACCUGUCUGCAAUUUGUAAAAGUCUUUGUGGUCUGAAAGUACCCUCAGCAUCAAUGUACAUUGCUUUCCCUUCACCACCUCCCUGAUCUAAUGGAAGCUGAAAUAACAGAUAAAGAAUGAUAUUUGAAUGAAUCUUGUGCACUUUAUUAUGGGAUUUUAAAAUUAAAAAAAUGUCUAUGUUAUCGUACUUGACAAGUCACGCAUAGUGUGUGACACAGCUGAGUCUUUCCACAUCGGAACUCUCCGUAAAUUUCAGUAAUAGAUCCAGUUUCGAUUCCUCCUGACAAGUGACAAAAAAAGUAUGAGGUUGUGAUGCCAGGUCAAAUUCCGGUUCUAGAAGUUCACAAAUUAGAUAAAUAACUACCUUCUAAUAUCUUGUCAAGUUCUUUCGAUCCAGAAGUUAUCUGUAUGAUUUCAAGCCUCUGUGCAUGGAGUUGGCUGGCACUAGUGAAUCCCAAAGGCACUAAUUUUGAAGCUGUUCAUAUGCAGCAUUAAAAAGAUUUAGUACCGAUUGCUGAUAAAAAAUUGCAGAAAUGGGUGAAAAAAGAAGGUAAGGGGAAAAAACAUCAGCACUGGCAAUGGCAGUUAAAUGAAGAGAGACAUGCCUGCCUCAAUAAUCUUGUCAACUUUAGCUUCACUAAUUCCUUUUAUCUGCAGAAGUUCCUUUCUUGGAGCAUAAACAACAGAUUCAACUGUACAUAGACCAGCAUCCUUGAGUUUUUUUACAUCUAGAGCUGCAAUCCCUGAUGCCUUGAGGACAAAAAAGCUAUAUGCCUCAGUAACUAAUGGACCAUUUCCUUUAAAAGUUGGAAGAAUUACAGGGUGUCAUUCAACAGAAACAACUAUACUACAAGCUAGACUGGAAAAAGAUACUCAAAGAUAUUGCCUCUUAAAUAUUAACAAUUCCAAGAAAAAAAUCUAGGAAAUGCCUAGUCCAGCUUUUAUGUACUACCAGUAAGAUUAAAAAAUCCUCAAGAGUUUAGGUUUCACUUCGUGUAAAUCUUUUUAAAAUCUGCAGUAUGAGAAACUUAUGAUAAGUACUUAUCUGAGUUACUGUAAAUGUUAAUCACUCGAGACUUAAAAUUCUUCAAAAAAAGAUCUAAACUGAUAAAAUCUUGUAAGGAGCAAAGCUGAUAAGCCAACCGCAUAACCCAGAUGCACACUAAAAUAUCUGACCAUCAACGCCCACCUAUUGGACCCUCCAUAUCAUGCGUCAUGAUGUAAAUCAUUUUGUGUCAAGUGCCUUUCUAGAAGCAGCUUUUCAUGGUGCCCUCAAUUCUGUACACUCUGAUAGUAACCUACAAAUUUCUAAUGAAAACUGGUUGUAAUUACGGGCAGCAAAACCAUUGUAGCAACAUCGUUUUUUUUAAUUGAUGACCUAGAAAUUUGUUUUGAGCCAACCCUUAUUGCCAACAAUAGCAUUCGAACUCAGGAAUGAUGGGUCACUCCUCUACCAUUCUCCACUUAAAUACUAAACUUAGGCUUGUCGCAGGGCUCCAUGACUCCAUCGAAACAUCAUACCAAAAAAACACUCAUCCAGGUUUUCAAGAUCAGUGGUAUCGCUUCGAGAACCCAUUUCACAAAGCAUUCUACAACAUUUAGCUUCAAAACUAAGGCAGUAAAGGACAGAUAGAUAUAACUGUAAAAAUAUUAGCUUGAAAUAAUCCACAAGAGCACUAUGAUAGCGAACCCAUUCCAAGAAGCCAAAAAGGGGACAGUAUAGAAAACCCCAAAACAAAAAAAAGCAUUUCCCAUAAGCGAGGCAGAUGAGAUUCAACCUUGAAAAAAAGCUGUUUCACAAAAUUCAGUUUUUUACCAUUCAAGAUUCAACCCAGAACCACAUUUCAAGAUUCAACAUUUAACCUACGAAGUACAAUUCAAGAUUCAAGAUCAGACCCAGCUACACUGAAUCUGAAAUCAUAAACAAUCACUAUCACCAAAACAACUACCCCAAUCCAAGAUUUAGGACACUUGAUAUAUAAAAAGGAUUGAAUUAACUCCUCAAUUAAGAGAAGAAAAGGGGGGAAACCUGAAGUUGUUCAACUGGAAAAGGGCCGUGUUGAACAUCCUCGAUUUCAUCAUUUUGGUCUUGCAUCGACUUCUGAUUCCUGUGCUGCUGCUCCAUUGCUAAUUUUCUUGAUGCUCACUGAGAAUGGAAGAAUGGAGGCAAAAGGAAAUAUUUCAAAGGCGUGAGGAGCCGCCAAAAAUACUGCAAAUGAAAUCGUGCUUCACAAGCUGUUUAAAUAAAACUAAUAAAUAAAUAAUACUUAGGAGGUGUUUGGUAUGAAAAAAACAGUUUUCUCUGAAAAUGUUUUCUUGGAAAAUAAGUGCAUUUCUAACUUAUUUUCUCAUGUUAGUUGGAAAGGAGAACAUUUUUUAAUGUUUGGUUGGUCAAUGAAAAUAAUUUUCAUAAAAUAUGUUUUUGUAUGCAACCGUUAUGAAUUUGAUGGUGAUAAAAACAGUUGACAAGCAAUAAUGUGUCCAGAAAUAUAGAGAAAAUUAGAAAAGAAUCACUUUUCAAGAACGUAAAAGGCUCAAAAAUACCCAUGAAAAGUAUUGGAUUACAUAUACCUUUAAAUUAUAUUCUGGCUCAAAAUUACCCUCCACUUAAAGUAUUGGGUCACAUUUACCCUUACUAUUAACAGAGGUGUGAAUAGUAAAGAUAAAUAUGACUGAAUACUUUAACGAAAGGAUAUUUUUGAGCCAGAAUAUAGUUUAAGGGUAUAUGUGAGUUAUUUUCGAUAGUUUAGGGGUAUGUUUUAGCCUUUCCCGUUUCAAGAAAAAUAAAUAUGAUUGUUUAAUGCCAAAUAAAUAUUCAAAAAACCCUUUUUCGGCCAAAUAAAUAAAAUUGACUUAUUUAUUACCAAUUUAUCUAUAAGUUGCUAUGUUAUGCCAUUUUUUUCAAAAAGGGAGAAACUACAUAAAUGGGCCACAAUACUCAAAAUAAUUACAAUUUUAUAGCCCAACUCAAACUAAUUUAGCAAAUAGCCAUUCACCCAAAAUAAAUUACAGUUCAUGCCCCCUUUAGUUUAGGCUCAAUUUCCUUGGAACCCCCUUUAAAUUUAGGCUCAAUUUUGCCUCUUUAAACGAAUGUGAUGACACUUAUCUAUUUCCAUCAAGACAAGUCAGCCUCAAAUCCAACAACAUGUAAGAAAUGUGGAAAGUUACACAAGAAUAAAAAACUUAUUCAUUCUAAUUGAUAAGAGAAAAAUAUCAUAUAUACUAAGUUAUUAUUUAAUUUUAGUACUAAUAUUUUUAAUCUUUGCGGAAAUGUUGCAAUGUAAUAAAAAAACAUCAACUAAGUAGAUAUGUGGCAAAAGAAACACAGGUGUUGAUUUUCAAGAAAUUAUCUAAGACAAAUGGAAAUAUUAAAGAAUUAUGAAAGAGAUGAAUGGAAGUUGAGCAAAUAUGACAAAGAAUUGGACUUUUUUUUUUUGUGUAGAACCCACAAGCUAAAAAUGGAAAGAAGAACAAAUGAGAAAGAUAGAAAUGAAGGAAUUAUCCAGCAAAUAUGGAAAAUAAAAAUUGGAAAAUAAGGUAGCAUGAUAUCUACCAAAAUAAAAAACAAGCAUAAGACAAGUUAAAUGAAAAAGUUUGUCAAAUGUUUCAAAUGUUGGUAUACAUUUGACCUGCCAUUUUUUUUUGUCAAAAUUAUCAACUACAAAGUGGAAAAAUUGAGAGAAAAUGGUGAUUUUCUUCUUCAGAGAAUUGCUAUAAAUUGCACAAGAAAUGAGUUGAUAUAGCAGAGUAGAGAGAGAGUCAAAAACAAAGCAAUCCAUAUAUUUCUUUAAGUUCUUCUUAUACUACUUUUUUAAGUAUUUCAUGUUGAAAAUUAUUCUAGUUCCUGCUUUUAAUUAAAUAGUAGAAUUAUUAUUUUUUGAAUAUUUCUUCUAUCUUAUCUAAUGGAGAAGAAUAUUUUCGCUAGUAGUACUAUUUCUAUUAUGGAGUAAUUUUCUUUUGUUUUGAAAAAUUGACGGAUCUUGAUAUUUCUACAUAAGUUAUUAUAUCUAAAUUUUAUGUGUGUGAACUUAAGCUAUGGAUUUCCAUUUUAUUUAUUUUAUAGUUAGAUGUUAUUUUAUUUAUUAACAUAUUUCCAUUGAUUACUACGUUUAACAUAUUACUAAUUUUGUAAUCGAGAGGGAUGGAAGAAGUAAUAUUAUUAAUUGGAGUAUUGAUAUAUUGUUAAUAUUGUAGUAACGUCUAUCUAUUUUAUGUUAUAAUUAAUCUACACUUAUUUGUAAUAGAAAGAGGCGAAUAGUGGAAUAAUUAGUUAUAACAAGCAAGUUAAUCGAAAGAGACUUACUUAGAAGAAUAUGUUUUAGCUCAAGUACACAUGUCUCGCUCAUAAAUAUUACUAUUUCGGUAAUUAAAUUGUAUAACCGAGAGGAGUGCAUAUAAUUGUUUAAUUUCAGUAAUAACAUAUAAUUAUAAUCGUGAGAGGUAUUUAUACUUUAUGAGAAAUAUAAAUUUAGAAAAAAAAAUUACUUUAUAUAGAAAUAUUGAGUGAGGUCAAGAUCCCCAACACCUUUUAAUAUAUUGUGAAAACUAAAGUAGUUUCUCUACUUUUUGUAUUAUUAAUUAAUUAAUUCACCAUUCAACAAUUCUUGAUUUUCUUAAAUAGUAAUUAAAACAACAAAUAUCUGUAGAAUAGACAAACCGAUCCCUGUGGUUCGACAUCUUUCUAUACUAUUAUUUGACAUACGGUGGGUUAAAAAUAUAUACAUUCAGUGACUCUCCACUAAUAUAACCCCAAAACCUAAUUGUCACGUGUACAAGCCACUAAUGUAUAAUGUGUGAAAUUGAAAGAUAAUUACAAAUCUCAAUGUCUUUAUUUUUCAAAUAGAAUAAAAUAUAAAAUAAGGAACAAGAGGAUCCGCCAGGAUGACAAAUAGUUACCUCUUAAAGUUCUCUAGAAGCCUCAGAAAUAGAUGAAAAGCAAUCACACGUAACUAGUCUCAAAAGCUACAUAAGUGUAGAAGAAAGGAGUGAGUACCAAACAACAUGGUAGUCAACAUGUAACCUACUAAACAAGACAAAACUAAGUUAGAAUAAGAGUACUCCUUUCAUCCCAAUCAAAACUGCUCAAACUGCAACUUGCAUAAAAUCAACCUAACCUAACCGAUUAACAAUACACGAUUUACAAGACUUGAAAAUCAUAGUUCAACAGUCACAAUCAAUAAACAAUAAGUAUCAAGUGUGACAAACAUACGUGUCAAGUAGAUCAAUUAGAAGCAUCAAAUUCAUCAAGGUACGACUAUCAAGUACUGAUACACUCAAACUUACUUCUCAAAUAAGAAGUAAAGCGGUCGUGUCAAGUAAAUAACUCAACUAAUGAGGUUGGGAUCGUUCCCACUAGGAAAAUAGUUUAGACUUAGCUUCAAUCUAUUAUUUCUAUUGUUCAGUCAAUUACUUCCUUGUAAAGCAAAGACGAUAAAAGGGAGGUUUCUAUUUCUAAAUAAAUGAAAAUAACUAACGAAAUUAAAAGAGACACUUAACAUCUUCGAAUGUUGGAAUUAAUCAAAGUAACUAGGGUUUACGUGUUCCCCACAGGUUCAUAACUUGAUAAUUCUAACUAUAACAAUUCUUUCCUUGUAUCUUGCAUGCAAAGUGAUAAGUUUUGUAUUUCUAAAUCCUUGGUCCGGCAUCUAGAAAAAUUCACUCCGCACCUAGGUCCGGCUACGUGUGUUGCUAUACUAACCCUUAUCUUUACCUCAUAUUAAGCAUCGUAUUCGAUAUUUGACUAAGUUAUUACCUCGUACCAAUCAAUACUAGCCUAUUAGAUAGUAUACACUAAAUCUACGUUGAUAAUUCUUUUCCUAUUAUCUACCUCCUUGGUCCGGUAAGUAGCAUGAAGGCGAGUUCUAACGUUGUCCAUCUGUUAAAAAGACUUCUAAGAGAAAGAAUUAUUAAUACAUGCAAGACACUAUUCUAGAAUUGUUAUUUUAGUUAGGUCUUACCUCAUUAUUUGCCUAUGGUUCCCACAACCCUACUUAUGGAGUUUAGUUACCCAUAGUCAUAAUCACAAUAUUCAAAUAUAUGAUAUAAGAAUUCAUGCACAUACUUCAAUGAGAAAGAGUAUCCGAAAGUUCGCUUGAUUAUUCAACAAAAAUCACCAACAAUCAAUUCAAAGAAUCUCAAAAUAAUCAAGAAUCUAACAAUAAUCAAGGGCCUAACCAAAUAAUCCAGAGUCUCACCUAAUAAUCUAGAGUCUAACCUAAUAAUCCGGAGUCUAACCUCAAAAACGAGGUUUUUCAAACUAUUUAUAGAAAAUAAAAACCUAAUUAAACAAGGAUUCUAUUUGCUGGAAAUCUGUCAAAAUGCGGCUGGGUCGACGGACCUCGCGACGGAUCAUCGUGGUCACGACGGACCGUCAUGGACUCCGUCGUCCCAUACUUGUGCAAUUUCUUCUGCUGCUCUCUUUAUUACCCUCGAUGUCAAGUAUGACGGAUCGUCACAGGCACAACGGUCCGUCGAGGGUCUCCGUUCCAAAACACUUGAACUCUUGGAAUAUGGGUACUGGGACUACUUCUCUGAACUUAACGAUGAACCUGCAGGACGGACCGUCAUGGACACGACGGUCCGUCACGCUUUCCGUAACCCCACACUUGGUCCGACUUCCCCAUCUUCCUUCAGCAGCUGCACUACGCUGCCACCUACGGACCGUCACGAGCAUGACGGACCGUCACAAGCUCCGUAGGUGGUCUCUUCUGCAUUUCUUCACUCAAAAACCUCCCAUUCAUCUUUGGACAGAUUUCCUCCAAAUAAGGAGAAACUUAUAUAAAAAUUAACACAAAAAGGCUUUUGGACAUAGUAAACUUAAGGAAAAAGUAUUAAUAAUGCCGUGAAACCAUGGUAUAUCAAGUACACGAACACAAAUCUCAAGAUUAUCAUGCACAACCUCAAUCAGGAUUCACGGAUAACCACUUGUAGAUCAGAACUCGUUAGUAAUGACCUCGACAUCCAUAACACUCGCGCACAAUGACUUCAACAUUAGUAACACUCACUGAUAAUGACCUCGACAUCAAUAACACUUAUCGAAAAUGACCUCGACAUCAAUAACACUUAUUGCAAAUGACAUUAGCAUCAAUAACACUCGUCGAUAAUAAAUCAACAUUAACAACCAUUAUAUCUCUCAUCACGGUGCACAAAAAUCAACGCAAAUAACCAAUCUCACACCAUCAAUUCUACUAGUUUUACAAGGUUUAAAAGAUUACUUGUCUCAAUUCAAUGAAAAGUCAAUUCAAGUCUUGAUCCUUCCCUUUUCGAACAAUCUCCAAAACUACACAAUCUAAUCUAAUCAAGUAAUCACAGUAAGAUUUUGAAAUCAACAAUACCCAAAUCAUACAUUUUGAUUUUGAAGAUGAGGUUUGAAUUGAAAAAUCUUUACUUGAAAGUGUAAUUCAAGGCAUUUGAAACUCAUUGGUUAAAACCAUUUCGAAAAAGGAGUUAAAAUCAUUUCACAAUCACCAUUUUAGUUUAGAACUCAAAUUCUUGAAAUACCUUGUUAUUUCCAAUCAAAACCCCAACUUUUGAUGUUAAAAUCCAUAAAUGAUAUAAGAGAAGUGAAGUUUUAAGCUCAUAAAGGCUUAUCCAAAUGAUUUAGCAGUAGAAAUCUCCAAAAAAUUUCCUCCAAGGAUUUUACAAAGCUCAAAAAUAGGAAAAAGAGGGCUUAACUCAGAAAUGACAGGCCAAAAACCCUCUCAGAUGUUGCUUAAGCGAACCUAACAAAAACGAGGGGUCUCACUUUUUGUGAACCAAACUCCUCUUAAUCGAUCAUCGCUAAAGUGAGCCUUGGUUCGCAGAGUGAAACCCACCAAAGUUUGGCCUUUAUGGAAGUGGAAGGCCAAUCAGAAACGUGAAGGGUACAUAACUCGACACCAGAAAAUAUCAGCCCAUACUCAACACAUUGAAAGAACCCUUGAGAUUCGUUCAAAACUCCGUACACACAAACCAUAUAUGUAAUUUUACUAUACUCAAUAGAACCAUCGAAACACAAAUUCAAGAUCUCAUUGACCCAAAACUCGUGAAAGUCGUAAGAAACGAAUAUAAUGCCUAAAAAGUCUAAAACAAGUUUGAGACCUCUAAAACUCAACCAAGACCUCACUUAAGUCUGACACCCCCGAAUCUAUUGAAAUUGUUGGAAAUUUAAUAUGAGAUAUAAAAUCAAGCAACAUAUUACUAGAUGAUAAUUUCAGAGCAGUGGUUUCUGAUUUUGGACUAUCGAGAUUAGUGCCUAUUGACAAGACUCAUUUAACAACACUGAUAGGGGGUACAUAUGGUUACAUAGAUCCACAAUACUUCCGCUCAGGUCAACUUACAGAUAAAUGUGAUGUAUAUGCCUUUGGUGAAAUUCUUGCAGAGCUUCUAACAAGACAAAGAGUUGUCAUUUCAAACCUACCAGAAUAUCCAGGUUUGGUUUUCCGUUUCACAUUAUCAUUGAAAGAAAAUCGUAUUAUUGAGAUUGUAGACCCUGAAAUUGUAAAAAAAGUUGAGGAUGAACAUGUGAUUCUUGUUGUUGCCAAAAUUGCCAAGAGAUACUUAAAUUAUAAUGCUAGGAGAAGUCCAUCCAUGAAGGAGGUGGAAGCUUAACUUGACCAACAAGGAAAAAUAAGGCGAGAGAAAACUCGUAAUGAGAGUUUUCAAGAUAACAUUAAUUUACCAAAAAGUGAAAGUUCUUGUAGUCAUAUUUCUGAUUAUACCAAAGAAGAUAAUCAGAACUCGAUGUCUCACAAUGAAAUGCAGUAAAUGCAAGAAGUUCUUGCCGUUGAUUUGGAGUCAUGCAGACUGGCUUGGAGUUUGAAGACUAGGGUGAGUUCAUGGUGUUUUGAGUUACCAGUUUCCAUCUUUUUUUGGCUAGACUUAGUCUUUAUAUUAUAUUCAGAGACAACUUGUACUUAUUUCGUAUUUGUAAAAAGCCUUAUACUCUUAUUUUGAUUAGAUAUGAUGCUCGAGCACUGACUAAUGCCAGAUCUUGGGGAUGGUUACUUGUAUUGCAUUUUGUUGAUUACUCUUUCUUACCUUUGUUGUAAGGUUCUUGCUUCUUGUUGUUGACUUUCUCUUGAUAGCCCAUUGCUUAUGAAUCUAGGAUAUGUGUUGACUUAUCUAGUGGUGGGGUGUACUAGUUAUCCAUAGCAUUAUAAAGUGCACAUAACAAUGUAUUACUAAUACAAAGGGUUAAUGCAUGCAUUAUUUUUAGGCAAAAGUAUUCAUUACCCCCUGAACUUGAAGCUUUUUAUUCAAGGUACACCUAAACUUUAUUUUGUUUCAAUUACCCCCCUAAACUUGCUUAUUCAUCCUACACGUACACUUUUUCCAUCCACUCAAUAUGAUCGUGUCUACAUGCGCACGACACGUAGAUAAGUAUUUUACCACCUAGAUAAAUAAUUUGCCACCUAGAUAAAUAUUUUGUUACCUAGAUAAUACCGACCUUAAAAAUUCACAAAUGUUUAAACUUCUGAAAGAAGCUUCUCGAUUUUCUCUAAACCUCUCUUUGAUAUUUUCUAAACCUCUCUUUGAUUUUCUCUAAACCUCUUACGAAAGUGUAAUUGACAAAGUAACGAGUACAUUUGGUAAGUGUAAUCGACAAAGUAACGGUAUAUUUGUGCUAGUUGCAGUUCGUGAAGCUUCUCGAUUUUCUCUAAACCUCUCUUUGAUUUUCCCUAAAUCUCUCUUUGAUUUUCUCUAAACCUCUAACGAAAGUGUAAUCGACAAAGUAACGAGUAGAUUUGGCAAGUGUAAUCGAUAAAGUAACGGUAGAUUUGUGUCAGUUGCAUUUCAUGAAGUGUUUGGUCGAUUUUCUUUGGAUCUUGUCCGAAAUUGUGUCUACAAGUGAUUAUCCACUCGAUUUCGCGUAGGCUUGAUGUAUUGCUGUCUGUUUUCUUUACUUUUUCAUACAUAUUUUGCCUAUUUUGCCCUAUUUCGUUUAACGUUUCGCCAUAGUUUCCGAUUGAGUUUCUGAUUAGGGGUCUAAUACUUUUCAACUAGAAUUUUCAUUUAAUGAAUGUAUUAUUAUGAAGCUUUUUACCUUGUUCAUGCAUGAAAUUUAGGCUUUUUGGUAAAAUUAAGGUUCUAAGUAUUAGGGUUUCUGGUAUUGAUAAAUGGUGGGGUAUUUUAUAAUUUGUUUAAGUAUAUUGUGUGGGAUGCCUAUUGUAUGUUGAUGAGUAAUACAUCUACUAUACUAAGUACCAAUUGUUGCUUAUGUUUUGGUGUUAUUAUAUAUGUUUUCAAUUUUAUUGCUUGCAUUGUACAAUAUACUGAUUAUUAUUGUCGUUAUAGGUUGACACUAUGACUAAUAAGUACCUCAAUUUAAGGUUCAAAUUUGGGGCUAUGUUGGUGAGUGAGGUAGGUCCAGUAUAUGUUGGGGGUAGGACUGAAUAUGUAGACAACGUGGAUGAAGAUCAUUUAUCAAUUCCUGAACUUGCAGAUUAUGCUAAGUCUUUUGGGAUUAGUAAGUUAGGAAAAACAUAUGCAGCUCCAUCUCUAGGGGGUGAUUUGGUGGAAUUGAAAAAUGACAUGAACAUUUGUAGCAUGGCAUUAUUUAUGCAUGAUGGGGACACAAUAGAUAUUUAUGUUUGUGAUUAAAUUAUUAUGGAUGAUGUGGGUCCCAGUGAAGGUCAAAUUAAUCAAUCUUUAAGUCAAGUGGUUGAGUCUUUUAAUUCAUAUGGGGAAUCUCUAACUGCACAACCAAAAAAAUCAGAUCUAGGUUUAGGUUCCUCUUCUUCCUUUCCAGCUACUGAAAGACUUGAAAAUGAUGGGAUUGUAAGGGUCGAACAAGAAUGCCAACAAGAAAGUGAUGAUGAUUAUUCUUCAAUAGAUUGGACUGAUACUGAAGAAGAAGUUGAACCAACUAUCCAACAAGGAACUAAACCUUCUAUUCAACAAGAAGUUGAGCCAAUUACCCAAGAAAAUGCAGAGAAAGACAUAGACAGUGAUUCUAUCUGUUCUGACCAGUCUAUUGACUAUGGAAGUGAUGUGCAUGAGGAGUUGAGUGAUGUGCAUAAAGAGUUGAGAAUUGUUAAGGAAGAUGUGAGAAAACAUAGAGAAAGUAGGAGGAGAAAGAAGAAGGAAAAUCCAAAAGUUUUUUUAGGUGAAGUUGGAUUUGAUGAAGGGUAUGAGGAUAUUGAAAAAGGGAAAAAGAAUUUCAAGGGUAAGCUAACAGAGGAUGAGUCAUACUAUGACAGUUCUGACUGUGAUAGUUUUCAAAGUGAUGAAGAAGAACCUGUUUCUGAUGAUGAACUUGAAGGAGGGAGUUUAAGGGGGAGAAAGAAGAGUAAUAGGGUGGUAUAUGAUUCUUCUUGUGAUAUUGUAAUAUGGCAGUGUGGUUCGAUAUUUGAAAGUGUAAAGCAAUUUAGGGAGGCAGUUACAAAAUAUGCUAUAAAAAAGGAGUUGAGUUAGAUAAGUAUGUGAAUGAGAGUACUAGAGUGAGAGUGAAGUGUAAAAGUGGUUGUCCAUGGCUGUUGUAUGCAAGCAAGGAAGGAAGGAGUGAGAACUUUACUAUCAAGACAUACAAUCCAAGGCACAAAUGUACCAGGACCCCCAAUAAUAUUUUGUGUAAUUCAAAGUUCUUAUGCAAGUAUCUGAAAGAUAGGAUUAUUUCUCAACCUAGUAUAAAAGGGUGGGAGAUACAAGAAUUGGUGAGGAAAGAGUUGAAUGUUCAUGUAGGCAAGGCAGUUUGUUUAAAAACAAGAAAAAUUAUUUUAAAGGAAAUUAUGGGAGAUCAUGUGGCAGAAUUUAACAGAAUCCUAGACUACAAGAUAUGUUACUCCAAACAAAUCAUGGUAGCACUUGUGUUGUGAAGCUUAAAGAUUCAGAAUCAGGAAAAGGGAUGAAAAAAUUUUCACUCUUUUUAUAUUUGUUUUUAUGCUAUGAAAAAGGGUUUUCAACAAGGAUGCAGAAGAUGUAUAGGGCUAGAUGGGUGUUUUCUAAAGGGAAUUUGUUGGGGUCAACUUUUGGCAGCUGUUGCUAAAGAUGCGAACAACCAAAUGUAUCCAAUAGCAUGGGCAGUAAUUGAUACUGAAAGCAAGUUGACAUGGAAAUGGUUCAUGACCAUUCUGAAAGAUGAUCUUAAUCUAGGAAAUGGUUCCCAGCUAACUAUCAUUAGUGAUAUGCAAAAGGUAAUUGAAUAUCUUUCUUUUGUUAUGUUUAAUGUAAUUGCUAAUUUAAUUUGACUAAAAUUUAACUUGAUUUUUUUGCUUUGCAACUACAGGGACUAAUAGCUGCUGUAGAUGAACUAUUUACAGAAUGUGAGCACAGAAUGUGUGCUAGACACAUCUUAGAAAAUUGGUCACAAAACUUCAGAGGCUUAGAGAGAAGAAAGAAAUUUUGUGCUAGAUCAACAUUUGAGGCACAAUUUAAGUACAAUAUAAAUGCCCUGUCCAAGCUGGGAAUAGGUAUUAUUGAAUCCCUUAUCAAAUACAACAAGGAGACAUGGUGUAAAGCUUUUAUUCAAACAUUUUCAAAGUGUGAUAGUAUAGAUAACAACAUGGCAGAGAGUUUCAAUUCUUGGAUCUUGUGACCUAGGAACAAGACCAUUGUAACUAUAUUGGAAGAAAUUAGAGUUAAGGUGAUGAGUAGAGUGAGUAAGUCAAGAGCAUUUGCUGAAACAUGGACAGAUGGAAUAUCUCCAAUGGCAAUGAUGGUAUUCAAUACAAAUGUAACAAGAUCAAUGCAGUGCAACAUUGAAUGGAAUGGUGAUGUUGGAUUUGAAGUGUUAGAAGUGGUAUACAAGCAUACUGUGAACUUGGGUCAACAAAAAUGUAAUUGCAGAUCAUGGGAAUUAAAAGGUAUCCCAUGUGCACAUGGUAUAGCAACAAUCAACCACUUGAACAUAGAUGCAUCACAAGCAAUAUCUAGUUGGUAUAGAAAAGACACAUAUAUGAAGACAUAUUCUUAUUUCACUCAACCAGUCCCAAACAUGGAAAUGUGGCUUGAAAGUAGAAACCUAAUGGUUGAACCACCUGAGGCAAGAUAAAUGCCUGGUAGGCCACCAAAGAACAGAAGAAGAGAAAUUGGUGAAGUGAGAAAAGUUGGAAAGUUGCCAAGAAUGGGGACAGUAAUGACAUGUUCACUUUGUAAAGGACCAAAUCAUAACAAGAGAAAUUGUCCAAAAAAUCCUAAACCUAAGUCUACACCAACACCCACUCAAGAGGUACAUUCAUAUUAAUUUGCUUUUAGAAAUUAUGUUAGAUUACUUAUUAAAUUUAAUGUCUUGUUGUGUUCUUUUUCCAAUCAUAUUAGUCCACCAUUGGAAAAAAGAGGGGUAGAGGUCAUUAUGAAAGAACAAGCACCAGUAAGACUGGUACAAGAAGAGGUGCAGGAAGUUGUUACAAGAAGAGGCCUAAAGUUGUUGGACAAAGUGUAUUUGUUGCUGAUACUAGAUAUACGUGUAUUAAUGUAAGUGUCUUAUAAACUGUCAGAAUUAUAUUUGUCUUCUAAAUGUGAAUCCCAAAAUAACUAUGUAGUUGAUAUUGUAGCAAGGAUUGUCUAGCAGAAGAAGGGUUAAUACUGGUGUGGUGAGUUUUGCACAUGUGACAAGUGAUAUUGGUUUUAAACCUACCAAGGGACUGAAGUGGAAAGGCAAACAGGCCAUGACUCAAAGAGAACUUCAAGUCGAAAGUGUUAUGCGUCGUAUUCAAACCAGAUCAAAAGCUCAUGACAUUCAAACAAGGUCACAAGCCAAAGGAAAAUUACUCUCAAAGAAAACUUCUUAGUUGUGUGGUUGCGUGGGUGUCCAACCGAACUUGAAAUAGUGUUUUAUGUGUUGAUGAAUCUGUGGUUGUUCAAACAAACUUAAAGUAGUUAUUGUUUAGUGUUUUGGUUUUGUGUGGUUAUUCAACUAACCUUAAAGUAGUGAUUGUUUUAUGUUUUGCUAGUUAACUUAAGUUAUUGUGGUUGUUGGUUGAAACAAUGAAACACUAUGAUGCUUCUUUUUUAUGAUCAAGAAAGCACUAGUUAUGUUAUGUUUGCUGCCUUCAUGUUAUUAUUUCAUGGUAUCAUAGUACCCAUUACAUGUAAUUGUAUUGAUCAGCAAAAACAACAAAAACAUACAUUAAUAGAACACCAAACCAAACUAAUCCACAAAAUGAGUACCCUAGAACCAAAUGAUUUUGCCUUAAUAACAAUUGCAUUAAAAAAAAUUCAACGACACACUAAAUAAAAGAACAAUAUCACAUUGCAUAUCAAACUAAUACCCAAAAUCAGUUUCAAUAUCCAUUUGCACUUGAGUUGUUCUUCUUGUUUGUUGAUUUUCUUCAACAAACCAAAAAUUACAAUAUUCGCUUGGGUAAGAAAUUCAGGAUCAUACCAAUCGAAAAACUUACAAGAAUUUCGAAAUGAGGACUGCAUUUCAUAAAAUCAAAGUUAACAAAAAUGAAAUUGCAUAAUACGAACUUGUCAAAUAAAAAGCAAAAAAGGAGUAACAAUACAUACCCCAUAGUGUCUACAACUGAAAAAUCUACGUCCGGGAUUGUCAUUUGUCCAUGAAAUUUUUAGAAUUGGAGGAGCCCCACAUAAACAAACAAGUCUCCUGUUAUUGUUCAUGAAUUUAGCAAUAACAAUUAAAACAAAAAAAAUGAGAAAAAUCUGAAUUUGAAAAGAGAAAAGGGAUAAAGAAGAAUAAAUAGGUAGAGAAUAGAGAGAGAAAAAUUCUUAAAAUAACCCAAAUAUUAAAAAAAAUAGAUUUUUACGUAUAUUAUCGUUGUAACUUUAUGAUGUGGCAAAAAUUGUUGUCUCACGCGCCUUGUAGAGUUUGAUUUCAGUUUCUAUGCCAGGUGGACGGAAAAGGUGUACGUGUAGGAUGAAUAAGAAAGUUCAGGGGGGUAAUUGAAACAAAAUAACUUAAGGUGUACAUUGAAUAAAAAGCUUCAAGUUCAGAGGGGUAAUGAAUACUUUUGCCUUAUUUUUAUUAAUAGACUCUAUCAAACAACCCAUUAUUUCUAAUCAGUUAUAUGAAAAAAAUAUGCUUUAUCAAUAUUGAUUUUUGAAUAUCAAUAAUUCUUGACAUUUUGAAAUAUGAACUUCAGUAAUAUUCUGGAACCUGGAAAGGAAAAUUUUACAGAAAAAUGUUGUUGAGUUCUGGUUCUAUGGGACAUACUUACAAACUGUAGAAGCUUCUACGGGCCGUGGGAAGUGUCUGUAGGAUUGGUUUGGACUUGAUCAAAUUUUAGAUUGGGAUCUACGUAAGGGUCUACAGACCGUAGACUGGUCCAUAGGCCGUAAAUCAGUCUCAUGGAAAAAGGGUAAGGAUUUUUGGUUUCCAGUAACUAUUCUAUGGAUUGACAAUUGACAAGAAGGACCGUAGGGUGAAUGACAUGUCGUAGAUGGGUCUCGUAGAAGUGAUCCAUACUUAGUGAAAUUUUAGGGUUUGAGUUAAUCUCUAUGGGAGGGUCCUACAGAUUGUAGAAGUUUCUACGGACCGUAAAAAGUGAUCGUAUGGAUUGUUUAGAUUUUAAGGCCGUAUUAAGUGAUUCUUUGACAGACCAAUACGGGCCGUAGGAUAUCCCACAGACCGUAGGUCGGAACCACAUACCUCUUCAACAGUUUAAAUGAAGGGCAUUUUGGACUUCUCCCAUUCCUUCUAAGCCUAAACCCCAAACAUUUUAUGCCUAAUUAAGGGUUUAUUCAGCAUUAAAAACCCUUUUACAUUCAAUUAAAUCAUAGAAGAAUUGGAUCAUGGUGUCCCGUAGGACACCCUUUGUUGGAAAAUUAUACCGUUUAUACAAGUAAAAUGAUAAACAAAGUGGUGAAAUAAUAUAUUUUAGACACCCUUGACACAACAAUAUGAUGUGGCCUAGUGGUUUCAGGAACCUUAAAAGAGUAACGACCCAGAAGAGCAUGUUCAUUUUCAACAAUUGGACACCGUUCUCAAUUUUUUUUCACUUUCUAAGAAGAACGGGUUCAGUUUUAACAAUUGGACACCCUUCUUGAAAUUUAUGGUUCCGUCACUAUUUAAUGGAACUACUGAUAAAAUUUAUUAUUUUUACAUAGAGAAAAGAGAAACUUUAAUUUCUAAACCAGUAAUGAGUUAAGAGUUAUUUCAGAGCAAUUACCUCUUUUAAAAGGAUAUUUUGAUAAGUUACUCAAAUUGAAAAAGGUAUGUUUAUACAUUUUGAAAAAUGAGUAUAUAUUUAUUUGGAGUAGUAUUGAGCACCGAUAUGGGAUUGAGUUCAACAACUUACAUUCUUCAUAAACCAUGCAACCAACAUGUGUAUAUCAUAACUUUUAGAUAACUCCUUAUUGCUUUCGUACAAAAAGUUUUAGUGGAUCCACUUAGUUGAGGUAUUCUAUAACCGAACAAGGUAUUUGACAGUUCUGGCGGUAUAGGCGAGAUGUCGUAUGAUCAUAUAACUCAUAGUGAUGGUUGUCGGUCAUAAAAUCUUCCAAAUAAGAUUGAAGAGUAAGUUAUUGUAUUUUUAUAUACAUCCCUGAAUUAGCAUAUUUUAUUUAUAAAGCUUUAUAUAUUUCACUUCUUAUUGUUGCUUUGUGUUGAGUUGAGUUUAUUCCAGCCUUAUCUAUUUAGUUUUUUAUUCAUUCAGAUUUAUUUCAUACUCAUACAUUUAAUGUACUGAUGUCAUUCGACCUGGAUCUUUUUAGUAUUAUGCAGAUACAUGUGUUCAGCAUCAUCAAGAUGCACUUCAUUGAGAUCUCUUUGCAUCCUAAUUAACUUUUGGUAAGUCUCCUUGCAUUUCGGAGGACUCCACUUUUCAUUCUAGUUUAGUAAUUUUAGGGUGUGUUGUAGGUCUUAUCCCGACAUCCAUGUUGAACUAUAUAGGUUUCAUAGAUAGAUAGGGUGGAGGAGUCUCACAUUACUUUAUUUUCUCGUGAGAUGUUUUGCAAACUAUUAUUAUUGCAUUGAGUAUUUUUCAUACAUUAUGAGUUGUGCAUUUUUACAAUUUUAAUGAUUUACUUAUGUUUCAAGGGUUUAAAUGCUUGAGUUAGUCUUCCACUAAGAGUUGCUUGGGAUCAUUAAUGAUUUUCGAGUGCCGACCACUAAUGAGUCCAAGAUUUCGACUCAUUUGGGCUUUAUUUUGAUAUUAUAAGUGUCCUCAAAUUCCUAAUUUAUGCUCUAAACUAAUGUUAAAGCGUUGAUUUGCAACUAUGAAGGCUAAGAAGCAAGACAAGGACAUGAGCGGACAAAAAGAAACUAAAAAGCUGAAUAAGUGAAGAAAAAGCAAUUUUUACAAUUUAAAUGAUUUACUUAUGUUUCAAGGGUUUAAAUGCUUGAGUUAGUCUUCCUCUCACUUGGGACCAUUAAUGAUUUUUGAGUGCCAACCACUAAUGAGUCCAAGAUUUCAACUCAUUUGGGCUUUAUUUUGUUACUAUAAAUGUCCUCAAAUGCCUAAUUUAUGCUCAACUAAUGUUAAAGCGUUGAAUAUGCAACUAUAAAGGCUAAGGAGCAAGUCAAAGACAUGAUCGGACAAAAAGAAACUAAAAAGUUGAAUAAGUGAUGAAAAAAGAUCCUAGUGAUCGCCAAGAAAAAUCAGAGCAUUGUCGAGUGGCUCUUAAACUCGCCCAAAGUUCCAGCAUGCCAACCCUAGAGAAGAACCAAGUGGGCACAGAAAUGGGUAGUCGACGGAUCACCGAUCAUUUAUGCGACAACAAAUUGGAUCUCUCAAAGUUACAUGACCUGAGAUGCUGAAGGCAAAUGGAAAAAUGGCGAUAAAAGAGGGCAAUCGGCGGAUCACUCAUCAACUCGGUGAGGCGUGAAUUAUUCCCUCACGUGCACUUUCAUACCAAAACGCAGGCAAUUAUAAAUUGGAUUACAGAAGGAAGUUCUCUAGUUCCUAGAGAUUUAUGAACCCCAAGUUUUAGAAUUAGAGUUUUCUCUUUGUUUUGGAGUUUUUAUAGUAGAUUUAGAUAAUUUUUAAGCUUAAUUUUGAGGAUUUGAAAGUGGAUCUUUAAAUUUACCCUAGAAAAACAUUGUAAAGGCUAGAAAAGUAUUACCCAACUGAUGGCCGAUCGAGUUGGUAAUUGUUUUUACCUUUUUAUGAUGUAUAGCUAAAAUCACAAUUCUUGGGGAUCUGAUCAUGUGAUUAUGGGAUGAAUUUAGCUUAUGGGUAUCGUUAUUUACUGAUUUUAAUGCUUAAUUGAAUUGAGUUUAAUUGUUAGUUGUGUUUUAAUAUAUGAAUUGUAGUUGCAAAUGCAAUUCUAGUAUAGGGCUUGCUUGAGAGAGAAGUAUUGGAACCAAAGCUUCUGAUUAAUGAUUAUAGUUAUCGAGUUUAUAUGAGUUUUUAUUGAAAGAGUAAAUUCUAAAUUUGAUUCUAUCCAUCUAGCUCGAGAGAGUGGGUGAAUUAAGUUGUGGGAUUUUCUUAUUUGCUAAGCUUGUUGAUGUUUAACAGUAAUCACCUGAUUUGUAAUAGUUGUUCGAGAGAAAACUAUUGCAUCUAUCGUCUAGCCUACCUGCUGAUAUUUUGCUAUUUAUUAGUAAUUUCAAUUAUCCAUACAGUGAAAUUUUCCUAUAAUUGAUUACAUCUCAGAUUCCCUCUCUAUACUAAUAUUUCCUCUGUUUUGCUUGUGUUGUAGCUGAUAGUUGACAAUCCAAACUCCCUCAUCUUACAUUCAUUGUCACACCCUUAGAUUUAUUUGCAUGUUUUCAAUAAAUUUUAUUCCUAUAACCGAAUAGACCACUUUAUAAUUGCACAACUGAAUUUAAAACAUACUGCUCCCUGCGGGUUUAACCCUAACUCUUCGUUCGGUUUUAUACUAAUUCACUAUCAUUUAGACCUAGAAUUGGAUGAGGUCUACUUGCGAUGUUAAUAAAAAUGACGUCGCUUCUGGGCAAUGGUGUUUUUUGAAAAUAUAUUAUUAAAGUUUGAAUUGUGUUAUUUUUGUGUUAUAGUUGAAUCGACUUACGUUGUUUCUGAUAGCUGUGUGGAAAGACAAAUAAAUGAGUGUAAAGGGGAUCAAUGGUAGCCAAAUUUUCCACCAAGAUGAUACAUGAAAUUUGAACAAUGUUAACGAUCCUAUCCAAUUGGGUGGCAUCGGAGCUAUACCUCUACUCAUGAGGAUCCCCAUGAGCAUAUCUGGAAUUUCAUCGAUGUUUGUGGAUAGUUUUCAUUCAAGAACAUGUCUUUAAUUAUUUCCAUUCUCUUUGAUGGCAGAAGCCACAAAGUGGUUGGCUGAUCUUCUGAGAAACUUCAGUACCACUUGGGAUGAGUAGAUGCUGCUUUCUAUGUGAGGUACUUUCCCCAUCAAUGAUGAUGACCAUAAAGGAUAUUGUUCAAGGGUACAAACGCUUGAAAGAUGAACCAAUCUACGAGACGUGGCUAGGGUUUAGAAGUUGUUACUUCAAUGCCCAACUCAUGUGCUGACUCAUGAUGUAUUGUUGCAAUACUUUUAAAUGAGUCUUGACUCGGUGAACAAAUGAAUUCUUAAUCAACUUGUUCUCGAUGGUAUAAUGCAACAACGUUGGGAUGCCUCAUCUCAACUCCAAAAUCGCAGGACCAAAAUCAAUAGAGCAUGGUACACUCGUGAGGACAAGUGGCACCUCUUACCUUUAUAUUGACAAAAGAGUAGAUCAAGAAUGAUCAAGCAAGAGACUGUCACAUGUAAAAAAUGAUGUCCCACAUGGACUUAUUAUCAAAAAUGUAAUGGGUAGUGGGUUUAGGAGUGUAAAUAUGUGGGUGUUGGUGGAACAAAUCCCAAUGAGGCACAGUUUGAAGCAUUAAACAAGGUGAAGUGAACUUCUUUGCAAAUCAAAAAGGAGGUUUUUGUCAAAAACUAUCAAAGGUCGGAUGGAAUUCCGGGUUGGAACAGAGAUGAUGGAUGGAGAGAUCAUGACAGAGAAUGGUGUGAUUGUAACGCCACUUGGAAAGAAAGAGAGGGAGAUAAGUAUAGGUACAUACCACCUUAUGAAUGUGAAAAUCCAAAAGAACCAAUGGUUGACUCGGAGAAUGUUUGAACGAAAGACAUGCUCUCACGUAUUCUCAAUAAGGUAGAAGGGUCACACAAGGUUUUGAAAGAAAUAAAAGAAGACGUCUCUACACGUAAUCAGACGGUCACCUCUAUUUCAUUCUCUAUCAAGAAUCUGGAGACACCUAAACCUAAGGCCAAAAGGAAGGUUGCCUAGUGACACAAUGACAAACCCCAAAAAUAAAGCUUGAAUUGGUAUUUUCUUCAAGCCAUGAUGUUAAAUAAGACACUUAUUGGAAGGCUUCCCUAGUUUUUGAUGUUUUAAAUUUUGUUUUUGAAUAACGAGUGUUGAUUUUGUAGGUUCAAAAGUGAAAAGUGUUAGGAAAUGGGCAACUUGACUGCCGUUGGAACCACCUAUAUUGAUGGGAAAUCUAUAAAUCUUGACAAGCUAAAAGCCUAAUCGGCGACUCACCGAACAAGUUGGCGAGCCCGAAUUUGUCCACCAUAUUAAUGGGAGCUCUGUAAAAGUCAACGAGCCAAAAUACCACUCGAUGCAUCGUCGAGUGGGUCGACGGGCACGACUUACUCCAUCGACUGGCGCGACCAAACAACUAAAAAUUUCAAAAUCCUUCAUAUUAUCUCAUUUUAAACUUUCAUACUCUUACCCCGAUAUUAUAUUUCUCAUAUUUUCUGUAUUUUUCUUUUGUUUCUUUGGAAUCCUUGCUCGAGAUUGGUUUUGGAACUUUUCCACCUAUUAUUUCAAUUAAAUUUUGGCAUAAAAGUUGGUUUUACGGACCCCGUACUCUAAUUUUGGUUAAACUGAAAUGAAUUCUGUGAAUUGUUGUGAUAAUUGUUGGGUAGUAUGGUUUAAUCACUGCUUAACUGUUGGAUUGCCCGUAAUUAAUUGGAUUUAUGUCUGAUUAUUUGUAAAUGGUUGAUUCUCGUGUCUUUGCUUAUUUAAAUCCAAUUUAAAUUGUUGAGUUGUACUAAACUUUUGUUGGUUCUAGCGGGAUGAAGUCUGAAUAACCCUUGAUUGUGCUUAAUGUCAUAUUUUGCCAAAUGAUGGAGCAAUUUGCAUCAUUCUUAAGGGCAAAAUACGUCAAAUGGCCAAUUUUUGGCCAAAUAAUGGGAAGUUUGAGUACAUUGAAUGCAUGGGUAGUAUGGGUCUUGAUUGAAUUUCAUAGUGUAUGUGUUAAAUUUUGAUUUUGUGGGUUGCGGGUUGGAUCUUGAAGAAGGGGUAAGAAACUAGCACAUGUUCCAUUUGACGAGCUGAGUCGAGCUUGUCGAAUGGUUCAGAGGUUUACUUAAAUCCCCUUAGACCACCUUUAAUUUCUCUAAUUGCUCAUGAGUUGUUGUUCUGUAACUUUUGGCGAUAUGCUUGAGCUCACCGAGUUCACUUGGCGACUCACCAAAAGUGCUUUUUGAUCACUCUUCUACGCGUCUAAUUCCUUAAAAUGCACGAUAACUUUUGGCGGCUACUUCUAGUCCGCCAAUUGAUGUCGAAGAUCGCUGAAACACCCUGUGCAUGGACAACCAACUUUUAUUUUUUGAAAUUUUUUUGCUAGAACUUUUAGCGACCUCGACUUGGCUCACCAAAGUGAUUUGGCGAGUCUUCAAGCAACUUAUUAUAUUCAACAAUUUUUCUCAAAUUUUUCUAAUGUUUUUCUAUGUUGUUGGCACAACUUAAUAAAACCAAUAUGACUGGUAGAAACAUGCCGCCCCAAAAGUGGUCAUGAGAAGUAGUUAUAAAUGAGGAAGCAUCUGCUUCCAAGGCUGAAGCCAAGAAACUAUCUCCACAUGGGGGUAAGGGCAAGUGCAAGAUACGCGUGGUAGUUAUACACCUGUGGAGGAGAGAUCCGACACGAGGGGGUGUAUGAGAUAUAUCUCAUAUAAUUCGGUAGUGAGAGGGACUCGUAGGGUUCUCAAGAUCCUAUCUCCGAGCCUGAAGAUGAUCUGUUAUUACAUGCUCGAAGAGCGAAGCUGCGCUCCAAAUCAAUAAAGGAUUUGUCUAGGAUUCCAAUGCCUUCUCCUCCUCCUUCUCCUCUGCUUUCUCCUCCGCCAGUACUUCCAUUAAUACAGGCAUCACCAGUAGAGGGUCCUUUUCUGCGGUCACUCAACAGACUAAAGUACGAGAGAUCUGGGACCAUAUUAGAGGAGAAGUGCUUGUCCACGAAUGGUAUGGUGGAUAAACAUCUAGUGGUGUGGGACACUCUCAGGUUCCACAGAUUUGAGGUCUUCACCAAUCCACGUGGCCCAUACAUUCCUACUUGGAUAUGAGAGUUUUACUCAACUUACAGUGGCCUGGUGCCUCUGAGAAGAAGAAGGCUAGUUUUCUUCAAGUUGGUGGACUUUAUGACCAUGCCUAAGACUUUAUAAAUGACUACCACAAUAUGAUAACGACAAAGACUCUAGAAUAUUUAAAAGGUUGGUUGCCCCAUUCUCUCUGACAACAACGUGAGAGGGAUUGAGGCCGAUAAGCCAAUAGAGAAAAAGACCAUAAUAAGGCAACUAGAAUUGGUUUGGUUUUAUCAGCGCACGGUCAUUCCAUCCCGAAAUGAGUCUACAUUUCUCCACCCAAAGACAUCCUGCCUUGGGUCUAUCAUUGCUAGGAAGAGGCUUAAUCUAGGGUUGAUUAUAGAGCAAGAGAUGGUCAUGAGGGUCAAGCUGAGUUAGACGUAUCUCUCAAUUUUGGUAUUAAUCACCAAGUUGUGUCAACGACACUAGAUGAAAAGAAGGAUGUCAAGGUUACAUCCAUUUAUUCUACCGACAUUUGGCGUAUAGAGGCCCAGUACACGAGAAAUAAGGCAGACAAGAGGAGAGCAGCUCCGGUGGACACAUCCUCAAAUGUUGACAUUGAUAUGAUACCUCCAAAGGCAGUCGGGCAUUCUCCGACCACUAGGGCUUUAGUUCAUUCUAGCUCAACUCCUUCUGAUACUCCUGGCACUUUUACUGCACCUCUUCCCCCUAGAUUUGUUAUUCGUACUUCUGCUUCUUGGCCCCUAUCAUUAAGGCUAUGCUAUAUAAGAUAGGGUAUUUGGUCUAAUCCAUCGAUUUGCGUGCCUUACAAUUAGAGGUCGUGAUUUUUAUGAUGAUCGAGAGAGCCAUUGUUGCUGUAUUGAUACCUUUCAUAGCUUCAAUUGAUGUCUUUACGAUAAGAGUAGAGAUAUGUGAGAUAGGACAGGGAGAGACUGAUGUACUGAUGACCUUGAAGGUUGAUCUUGUUGGACUUCGUAAGUAUGUGGACGAGCUAAAGUCCACCCACCUCUCCAUCCUCUUUGGCACUGUGGACAUACCAGAUUCCCUGAGUUAAGAUAUUCCAGACUGUUUAGAUGUGUCUGCCGCUACAACAAUUGGAGAUGAGGUUAGAUAUGAUGACACUGAUACUAAUUCCGAGGUUGAGACAGAUGAAGAACAACAUGGAGAGAAAGAGAAUGUUGUCUAUAAGGACCUGACUUUCGUGGAGGUCGCUACGUUCGAGACUACAAAAUAGGCAUUGCUUCAAGAUACUUUGAUGGUAGGAUCCAGCUUAGCGAAGGCUGCUUAGACACUAGACAUUGAUGCCUAGACAGAUGGAAUGACUGAUGUGUAGACUUCAUUUUAGGCCUAGUCUGGCAGGAUGAUUAAAUUCUACCUCCCUCUCUGUUCUUUUUAAACCAUUUCUAUUUUUAGUUGUAUUUGAGGACAACUGUAUUUUUUUGUUUGCAGGCUGAGGUAUUUCCAUACCUAUCUCUUUGUGGGAUGUUUUCAUGAAUAGUGAGAUUAUUGGUUUAUAGAUAUACAUCUUUGUUGUGGUAUUGCGGUUGUUCAUAGCUUGUGACCUAUUGUUUUAAUUGAACAUGGUUUUGUGCCAAAUUUUAGAAUUUUCCACCUUUUUUGUGUGUGAUUAUGGCUAUUCUUGUGCAAAUUUCAGUGUCAAUUUUGGUCAAUAUUGAUUACUUGGAUGGUGCUCUUAAUUGAACAAAAAGAAUGUGCGGCUACGAUGACGCAAACGCAAUCACAUAGGCAAUAUGUGAACUUUUAGCAUCUCGUUCAGACUAGCUAGUUGUCGAAUGAGUCUCUUAUGAUGAACAUUGCACACUAGAUAGAAAGUGUGGAGUCUUGUUUGAUAAUUGUAUCAAUGCCUUGUGUGGUGAGGAUACCUUGAACAUUGUGCAUGAUAAUACCUAUAAUUUUUCCCAUUGGUCCGUUGAUUGAGUGAUGCAAGAAAUAGACAUGAUCUUAGGCAAAUAUUUUUGAAGAGUGAGCCUAUUUGACAACAUAUCUCUCUGUGGCCAACCUUGUGAGAAGUGUGAACCUUGCUUGGACCAUUUUGACCCUAACCUUUUCUUGGAAGAAACUUGAACAAUUGUGACCUCUUUUUAACCCUUCACCAGUAUUUUCAUGAAGAAUGGUUUGUUUGAAUAAUCAACUUAUGCUAAAAUCUUGAUUUGGGAGUGCGGUGCAAAAGAAGGAGAAUCAAGAAGUGUGAAAUAUUCUCCCGAGAUGGAUUGUGUUGUAAAUAAUGGAAACCCUUCAUAUAAAAAAUAAGAAAGAAAAAAAUAGUCUGGAAAAGAGAAAAAGUUGUGAAAUAAAGUUGUAAAAGUAGCAAAAGAAAUGGGGUAUUCAAUGAUUCAUGCCUAGUCGAAUAAUGGAGUGAAAGGUGAUCAUGUUUGAAUCCAUACUUCUUGAAGGUAGAAACCACUAAGCCUAAAUUGUCCUUUGCACCCAGUCUCAUUACAAUCCUUAAUAAGACCUUUUUGAUAUUGAGUGAGCUGAAGCGAAUGUUGAUUGAAAAAUAAGGGCAAGCCUAUAAGUGGAGUCAUGCAUGUGUUCAUCUUUGUGAGUAUCAGAGUUGUAUGUGAUUUCAGAAGCUUAAAUUGUUGAGAGAUAUUGUGUGAAUAUGGAAUCAUCAUUAUUAUGAGGGCAUAUGAAUACCUUUGUUGAGCUUAAACUUACAUUUGAAGCAAGCAUUUUGAGUUUGAGUACACUUGAUGAUGGUGAGACACAAUUUGAAACUUUGAGUGCACAAUUGAUCAUUGCAUGAGUAGUAUGAACCUUGUUGUGUGCAUUUAUAUUUAGUCUAAUGCAACACUGUUUGUAGACAUCUUUGUUGAACUGAUUGAUUUUGAGUUUUACUUGAGGAUAAACAAAAUCUUAAGUUUAAAAAGCGUUGAUGAUUUCAAGAUUUCAAUUUAUUUAGGCUUUAUUUUGAUAGUAUUAAUGUAUUCAAAUGCCUACUUUAUGCUCUAAAUUGAUGUUAAAGCGUUGAUUUGAAGCUAUGAAGGCUAAGGAGCAAGGCAAAGACAUAACCGGAUAAAAAUUAACUAAUAAUUUAAAAAGUGAAGAAAAAGCGAUCCUGGUGAUCGCCAAGACCAUUUUGCGCACCGCUGAGUGGCUCUUUAGCUCUCGCAAAGUUUCAUCAUGACAUCCCUACGGAAGAACCAAGUCGGCAAAAGAAAUAGGGCAAUUGGCAGAUCACCGAUCAGUUCCUCGAAAACAAAUUGGAUUGCCCAAAAUUACAAGACCUGAGAUGUUGAAGGCCAAUACAAAAUUGCGAUGAAAUAGGGCAAUCGAUAGAUCGCCGAUCCACUCGAUGAGGCAUCAAUUAUUACUCAGAGUGGACUUUUAGGCCAAAAUGCAGGCAACUAUAAAUUGGAUUUUAAAAAAGGAAGUUCCCUAGUUUCAUGAGAGUUUUGAUCCCCAAGUUUUAGAAUUAGAGUUUUCUCUUAGUUUUGGGGUUCUUAUUGUAGGCUUUUGAGAAUUUCUAAGCUUAAUUUUGAGGAUUUGAAAGUGAGUCUUUGAAUUUAAAUCUUGGAAAAUAUGUUAAAGGUUUGGAGACUCUUACACAACUGAUGGUCAAUCGAGUUGGUAAUUGUUUUUUACCUUUUUAUGAUGUUUAGAUAACACCCCAAUUCUUGGGGCGUGAUCAUGUGAUUAUGGGUUAAAUUAGCUUAUAAGAAUUUUGUUUACUAAUUUUAAGUCUUAAUUAAAGUGGGUUUAAUUGUUAGCUGUGUUUUAAUCUAAGAAUUGUAGUUGCAAAUGCAAUUCUAGUAUAGAGUUCUGGACUUGCUUAAGAGAGAAGUUUUGGAACCAAAGCUUCCGAUUAAUGGUUGCAUUAUCGGGUUGAUACGAGUUUAGCUCGAAAGAGUAAAUUUUAAAUUCUAUUUUACCCAUCUAGCUUAAGAGAAUGGAUAAAUUGAGGUGUGAGAUGUUCUUAUUUGCUAAGUUUGUUGAUAUUCGAAAGAAAUCACCUGAUUUGUAAUAGUCGUUCGAGAGAAAACUAUUGCAUCUAUAGUCUAGCGAACCGGUGAUAUUUAGCUGUUAGUAAUUUCAAUUAUCCAUACAUUGAAAUUUGCCUAUGAUCGAUCACAUCUCGAGAAUCCCUCUCUAUAUUGAUAUUUCCUGUUUUGCUUGUGUUGUAAAUGAUAGUUAAUAAUUCAAACUCCCCCAUCUGACAUUCAUUGUCAUACUCUUAGAUUUAUUUGCAUGUUUUUCGAUAAAUUCUAUUUCUACAAUCGAAGAGACCACUUUAGAACUUCAUAAGUGAAUAUAGACAAUUACCGCUCCAUGUGGGUUCGACACUAACUCUUCGUUGGAUUUUAUACUAAUUAACGAUCGUUUACUUCUAGAAUCGGAUGAGGUGUACUUGAGACGUUAAUCAAUCACGUCCAAGAUGUACACUCGAGGCGUGACAACUUCUUUGGAAACAAACGUCAUUUCGUUUUAUUAUUUUAAUUGUGUAAUGUAUUUAGGCACUUCAAGAAUUUUUAAUAUAAGCUAAAUUAUUAAUGAAUGAGGAGAAAUAUCAUUAUACUUUUGUAAAUCAACUCAUUACUUAAGAGAUAUUCUCAAUUUAUAUAUAGAGUAAGAUAAAUUUACAAAAACAAUAAAAUGAAAGGCCACACGAUAUACUUGGCCUCAUUUGUUUGCACUUAACGGAGGUGUGGAUGUGAAUGAUUCAGACAUUAGAUCGUUAUUAAUUUUCUUUUUACUUAAAAAUAUCUUAAUGGAUUUGAAAGUGUCAGAAUGAAUCAGAUUUGUGAUAGACUCUUAUUAUCAUUGAGACCGUUUAAAAGAUACUUUUAUUUUCGAAAAAAAUUGUGCUUCAUAUUUUUUUUCUUCAAAAAAAAUUCAAGCCUCUCUUAUUCUCCAACUUUAUUAAUUAUCCAAAUUAUUUUUCUUAAACUUUAAAUUUUUGUUCUUGGGACUUGUUUAUCAAGAAUAUAAUAAAAUUAAUUGUAAAGUUUUUAUUUGACAAAAGUGCGAAAACAACUUCAUAAAUAUUUGUUUUUGAAAUUAAAAAAAAAAGAUGACCACAUUGUUUUCAAACAAUUAUUUUUAUUAUUUUAAUUUAUAUAUAAUUCCAUUUAGCUCCAUUUUAUUUUUAUUAAACUUACAAUAUAUUAAUUUAUAAUUAUAUAUCUUAAUGAUUAUCAAGGACUGGUGUUGUUCUUCUAAAAUUUUGCUAAAGUAAUAUUUAUUGUGUUUACAAACUAAUAAAAUUUUUAUAUAUAUAUAACAAUCUUAAUAAUUCAGUGUUUAUAUUUAGAGACAAGAUCUUAAUAAUUUAAAUACAUUUUCAGAUUGAGACUUCUUUAUCUUAAUAAUGAAAACAAAUGAGGUCGAUUUGAGAAAAAAAGGAGCAAAUAAAGUGAAGGUAACAUAACAAAAGGUUGAUACUAAGUAUAAGAAGAUGAAAAUGUUAUUUUAUUAAUUAAGUAAUUCAAAUCAAUUAUUUAAUAAGCGGAAAAGGGUUAAAAUUGUCCCUAAACUAUUCGAAAUAGACUGCUUAUACCCUAUUAUAUUUUGAACCAAGAAUGUCGGUUGUUACAUCUGAGGGAUCACAAAUACCGUCAAGAAUUAACAGUACUAAUAUGACAAGCCACAUGACACUAAUUUCACCACCUAAAAUACCUAUUAAAUUUUGACCCAAUCAAUAACUCAAACCCAUUUUUGCUAGACCCAACCCACUAAAUUUAUACUCAUGUUAACUAUUACUUUCGAAGAUUAGUGGCUAAUUUUGUAAUCAAAGGGUCUCAAUUUAGAAACAAACUCCUAAUUCAAGUGAAAAAAAUCAAGUUGAUGACUGUGCAUGUAAUGUUUAGUGGUUCAAAUAGAGGGUUCUUCAAAAAAUUUAUCGUUGGUCUGCUGCAUUGAAUAGUGAAAAUGAGGUGAAAAAGAUAAUGUUUCCCUCUUAAUUUUAGUCGGACGGGUCUAGUUAAGAAUGGAUAUGGUUUGAUUAUUAAUUGGAUCAAAAUUUAUUUGGCAAGUUUAGGUGGUAGGAUUAGUGUCAUGUGGCUUGCCACAUUGGUGUUGUUUAACCGUUGGAAAUAUUUGUGGUCUCUUAGGAUAACGAUGAGGACAUUUUUAUCCCAAAAUGUUGUUGGGUUUUAUUUGCCCUGAUUUCUUACCAUAAAUAGGUUUUCCUUUUAGGAAAAGGUUUUGAAUUGACUAUUCUUUUUUUUGGUAGGAAAAGGUUUAGGACUCUAUAAAUAAAGGCAUGUUCCUUCUAACUUAAUGAGCAUUCACAAUGUAGUUUUAAGGGCUUUGAGAGUUUUGGUUAGAGGGAGAAUUUGUGAACCUCUCAUGUAUUCCGAGUGAAUUGGUUGAGGUUGUUUCCCUCUGUAUUUUGUACUCUCAUAUUUAUAGUGGAUUGCUCAUCUCCUUUGUGGACGUAGGUCGAUUGACCGAACCACGUUAAAUCUUUGUGUCUUUUGGUAUAUUUCUCGUUGUCUUCUUACUCGUGGUCUUUCGAGGUUUGCUUUGCUAGUUUCCGCGUUUACACCUGCUUAUUUUCGGUCCUAACAAAUGUAACCAUGGGUAUAAGUGAUUUAUUUUUCUUAAGCUUAAGGAGAAUUUUGACCCUUUUCCGUUUGAUACGAGGAAAUUAAAUAAUUUGGUAAUAAACAAAAUGGUCAAUCAACUUUUAAAAGUAUUUGCGUAAUUUAACUUUUUAACAUGGGGCUUCUCACUCAUGAAGUGAGUAAUUUUAUGAUAUGAUGAUACAAUAUGAUGAUUAUCAACAUAUCAAUAUUAUUUUACGUCAAUUCUCAUAAAAUGCAAUUUAAAAUGUUGCGAUUUGUUCAAACAGCAUACAAAAGACUUUCCUAUUACAAAAUUAUUGAGAUAGUGAUAGCUAGGGGUGUACAGACCAAACCAUAAAGUCAAAUCGAAUCGAUAAACCAAGUCAAAUUGAGAAAAAAAAACCGACUCAUGGUUUGGUUUGAUUGAUUUGGCGUUGAAAAAGAAAAACCGAUCAUUCUUUAUUUGGUUUGGUAUUAAUGCUCAUAUUUUGAACAUAAUUGUAAAAGAAGGAUUAGACAAACAAACUGAGCCAAUUUCUUGCAUAAGGAAUGCACUGAAAGUCUUCUGCUUCUAGGUUUGCCUCGUUCAAGUCAUACGUUGAGAAGACUAAGCUAGACACUCGUGGUCUCUUAAGUCUUGAUAUUGAAACUAGGUGGAAUUCUACAUUACGAUGUUAGAAACUGUUGUAAAUUUUGAAAAGGACUUUGCAAUAAUUUACAUGGAUGAUCGUAACUAUUGAAAGUAUUGUCUUCGAAGUCAAUUGAAAGGACAUCCAACUACAAAUGAUUGACAACUUGUGAAAGGUUUUAUAAAGUUUCUUAAAAUCUUCUAUCAUUAUAUUUUAAAAUUUUUAGGGAGCUUAUAUGUUACUUCUAAUCUAUUCUUCCUUGAGUUUUUUAAUGUUCGAAGUUCCAUACUGAAGUACUCUUAUAGUGAAGAUCUAAUUUCGAUUGAUAUGGUUGGAUCACGAAGGUUAAGUUUGAUAAAUACUGGAAGAAUAUUGAGAAACCUGAAAAUUAGAACAUGUUGUUGUUUAUUGCUAUUGUGUUGGAUUCUAGGUAUAAGAUGCGAUAUGUCAAUUUUAUUCUUGGCAUAGCAUAUGGCUCCUUACUGGGAAAAUUAAAGGCAGAUAAUGCUAAAGGCGUCUUGAAAUGUUUGUAUAAUCACUGUAAUCAUUCUUCGACUGGAACUUUUACAGAUAACAUUGGAGGUGAGACUAACAUGAUGGGUGAAGUUGAUGAUAUAUUGCAUUAUGAAUGGGAGAAACAUUUAGAAGAUGAUGAAAAAAUUGAAAAAAUAUGAGCUUGAUCAAUAUUUGAUGGAUAAUGUACAGAAGCCAAACGAUUUUAAUUUCUUGACUUGGUGGAAAGCUUCAUCGAAUAGAUAUCCAACUAUUUCAAAAAUGGCAAGGGAUGUUCUUUCUAUUUCCGUUUCCACUGUUGCAUCUGAAUCAACUUUGAGUACAAGUGAUCGUAUUCUUGAUUCAUAUCGGAGUUCUUUAUCACCAAAGACAGUAGAAGAUCUUAUUUGCACUCAAUCAUGAAUACGGUCACCUUCUAAAGAAUGGAAGGUUCAAGAUUAUUUGGAGGAAGUUCAAAAAAUUGAAGAAGUUGAAAAAGGUAAUUUACUAAUUUAAUUCUUAAUUCUCCCUUUUUGCUAUUAAUUUUCUACUUUGAAAAUAACUUUAUGCUAGUUGCUAACUAACAAAGUUGAGUUGAAAAGUGAUUCAAUAUCUAAUUACUCAUUUAUGUGCUAAUAAUUCUUUUCCAGGUGCUCCUUUGAGUAUCGUGUUGUGCGGAAUUUGAGAUAAUACGAGAAAAUAUAAACGCGAAAAACAAGACAACAGAUUUACGUGGUUCACCAAUAAAUUGGCUACGUCCACGGGAAGAGAGGGAGCAGUUUUAUUAUGGAGAGGCAAAAACAGAAUUACAGAAUAGGGUUUGCCAUAGCGUCUAUAUAUAGUGCUAAACUACGCCCUAACAGGCUUGGGCCCAACAUACAGAAUUGACAGAAAAUUAAGGGCCCCCGUCCUUUCUGUUUGUAGCGGGUCCGAUUCAAGGCAUUCAACAAAUCUCCACCUUGACUUGAAUUCUCCGAACAGAUUCUUCAGACGCACUAUGAUAGUGCCAGGCCUCCCCCUCUUCCUCAGAGUUGCCCCGCAGGGCAAUUAACAGCUUCUGAUGUUGAGCAAGUCCAAACAGUGUUGAAACUUGCUCUGUGGAACCGGCUUUGUGAACAUAUCAGCAGGAUUAUCAGCAGUUCCUACUUUCUUCACCUUGAUUCUCUUCUCACUUCUCAGAAAAUGAUACCUUACGUCAAUAUGCUUGGUUCUCUCAUGAUGGACUUGAUCCUUGGCUAGACAAAUUGCGCUCAAACUGUCACAAUACACCGUAGCCUGAUCAUGAUGCAGACCAAGAUCACUAACCAGCCAUUUCAACCAAAUCCCUUCUUUUGCAGCCUCUGUCAAGGCCAUGUACUCCGCUUCCGUAGUAGACAAAGUCAUUGUAGGUUGCAAAGUUGCCUUCCAACUGACGACAGAUCCUCCAAGGGUAAACACAUAGCCAGUCAUCGACUUCUUGUGUCAACAUCUCCAGCAUAGUCUGAAUCAGAAUAGCCAGUAACUAAGCACUGAGUAUCACCUCCAUAAAUGAGACCAACGUCAGAUGUACCUCUAAGGUACCGGAAAAUUCUCUUCACAGCCUGCCAAUGUUCUCUCCCUGGUUGUCCCAUGAAUCUGCUCACUACACUGACUGCAUGUGCUAAAUCUGGCCUUGUACAGACCAUAGCAUACAUCAAACUUCCUAAGGCACUGGCAUAAGGGACUCGUGACAUAUACUCCUUCUCUUCUUCUGACUGUGGAGCGAACAUGGCAGUGAGAUGGAUAUUGGCAGCACUGGGGGUAUCAAUGGGCUUAGAUGAAGACAUGCCAAACCUCGCCAAGACCUUCUGAAUGUAGCUUCUCUGUGACAAGAAAAGUUUCCUUCUCUCUCUGUCUCUAAUGAUCUCCAUCCCUAAAAUCUUUCGAGCGGCUCCCAGAUCCUUCAUCUCAAACUCAGCACUAAGUAAACCCUUCAGCUUCUGAAUGUCAUACUUCUUCUUUGCAGCUAUCAACAUAUCAUCUACAUAAAGCACCAGAUAGAUGAAUGAAUCAUCAUUGAGCCUAUUGUAGUAGACACAACAAUCAUAUGAGCUCCGAGUAUAUCCCAACUUCACCAUAUAGCUGUCAAACCUUUUAUACCACUGCCUUGGAGACUGCUUAAGUCCAUAUAAGGACUUCUUCAACUUGCAGACGUGAUUUUCCUUCCCUGGAACUUGGAAACCAUCCGGCUGAGUCAUGUAUAUCUCUUCCUCCAACUCUCCAUGUAGAAACGCUGUCUUCACAUCAAGUUGUUCAAGCUCCAGAUUCUGAUGUGCAACUAUCGCUAGUAACACUCGGAUGGAAGUAUGUCUGACCACUGGUGAGAAGAUCUCAUUGUAGUCCACUCCCUCUCUUUGGUUGAAACCUCUGGCAACAACCCUGGCUUUAUACUUGACUCCUUCUGCUGGUGAUAUCCCUUCCUUCUUCUUGAAAACCCAUUUGCAAGUAAUAAUCUUUCUCCCCGAAGGCUGUAUGACCAGAUCCCAUGUCUGAUUCUUGUGUAGGGACUCCAUCUCAUCUCCCAUAGCGGCAAACCAUUUUUCAGAAUCAGAACUUAAAAUGGCUUCUUUGUAAGUAGACGGCUCAGAUGUAUCUACCUCUUCAGCAACCUGCAGUGCAUAACCCACCAUGUCCUCAAAACCAUACCUCGUAGGUGGCCGAACUCCAACCCUCCUUGGCCGAUCUUGAGCUAUACUCUGAUGGAUAUCUGAUGGCAUAGAUUCUGGAAUAUCAGUUUCUGUCUGUGGCUCUUGAUCCUCCUCUUCAGGUUCCUUUAAAUCUCUCUCGUUCUGAAUGACUAGAAACUCCACCUGUUUGUCAAGACUCCCAGUUUCUGACGUAGUUGUAGGCUUCACAAUGGUUCUAAGAAGAGAACUUUCAUCAAAGACAACGUUCCUGCUCAUAAUAACCCUCUUUUCUGCUGGAGACCAGAUUCUGAAACCUUUCACUCCAUCUCCGUAGCCCACAAAUACUCCCUUUUUAGAUCUUGGUUCUAACUUACCUUCACUGACGUGAUAGUAAGCCGUACAACCAAAAACUUUCAGAUUUGAAUAAUCAGCAGCUUUUCCUGACCACAUCUCCAUAGGUGUCUUGCACUGUAUGCCUGUAUGUGGUCCGCGGUUAAUCAAGUAGCAAGCUGUACUAACCGCUUCUGCCCAGAAUCUUCUAUCUAGCCCAGCAUUAGAGAGCAUGCACCUUGCUCUCUCCAGAAGUGUUUGAUUCAUCCGCUCAGCUACACCGUUCUGCUGUGGUGUAUUUCUGACUGUACGAUGUCGAGCAAUCCCUUCAUCCUUACAAAAUUGAUCAAAUUCAGACCAACAGAAUUCCAGCCCAUUAUCAGUUCGCAACCUCUUGAUCUUCUUCCCUGUUUGAUUUUCCAUCAAAAAUUUCCACUCCUUGAACUUUUGGAAGGCUUCACUUUUAUGCUUCAUCAUGUACACCCAAGUCAUCCUUGAGUAGUCAUCAAUAAUGGACACAAAAAAUCUGCAGCCUCCCAAAGACUCAACACGGCAUGGACCCCAGCAAUCAGAAUUGAUAUAAUCAAGUGUGCCUUUUGUUCUAUGAAUGGCCUUUGGAAACUUGUUGCGAUGUAGUUUUCCAAAAAUACAAUGUUCACAAAACUCUAGGCUCUUAACCUUAUGACCAGCAAGUAAAUCCUCCUUUGACAGAAUUUGCAUCCCUCUUUCACCCAUAUGACCAAGUCUUAUGUGCCAUAACUUAGUCAUAUCCUUCUGGUGAAAUUCUGACGAUGCAACAUGGGCUGAACCUGUAACCGUGGAACCUUGUAGAAAAUACAAAGUACCACGCAUGACACCUUUCAGAAUCAAAUUUGAACCCUUCCAGACCCGCAAGACUCCAUCUUUUCCCGACCAGCUGAAUCCCUUGUUGUCCAAAAGACUGAGAGAUAUCAGAUUUUUCGUCAUCAAUGGAACGUGCCUGACCUCGUUCAAUGUGCAGAAGCUACCGUCAUGUGUCCUUAUCUUGAUCGAGCCUGUCCCAACCACCUUGCAGACAGAACUGUUGGCCAUCGAGAUGCUGCCUCCGUCUACCUGCUCAUAAGUCGUGAACCACUCUCUCCUAGGACAGAUGUGAUAGGAUGCCCCAGAAUCAAGAACCCACACAUCUGAAUGAUGAGUGUGCUCAUCCGCAACUAGGGCAAUAUCUUCUUCAGAAUUGGUGUCUUCUUCAGCAACAGCAGCAGACACUGAUUGUUUUUCCGAUUGCUUCUUCUUCUUCGGACAAUCAAAUUUCCAAUGUCCCUUCUCCUUGCAGUAAUUACAAACAUCAUCCGGCUUUGCACCCUUCGACAUCGGCUUAUUUUUCUUUCCGCCGUUUUUCCUUCCCUUUCCGCUACUGGUGAACAGACCAGAAGGCUGUAUGUCCGUACUUGUGCCGUUAGCCUUAUGCCGUAAUUCCCUGCUAUGAAGGGCCGAUCUGACUUCUUCCAGUGACACAGUAUCUUUCCCAACAAUGAACGAUUGAACAAAAUUCUCAAACGACAUUGGGAGAGAUACUAACAGAAUCAGGGCAGCAUCUUCAUCCUCGAUCUUCACAUCGAUAUUACGCAAUUCUAAUAGCAAAGUAUUCAAUUGCUCUAAGUGUUCCCUGAGUUGUGUACCUUCAGCCAUUCGUAAACCGAAUAGACGUUGUUUCAGAAGCAGCUUGUUGGUUAGAGAUUUUGUCAUGUACAAACUCUCCAGCUUCAACCACAGACCAGCAGCAGUCUCUUCAUCUGAGACCUCCGUGAUGACAUCAUCCGCGAGACACAGCAUGAUUGUCGAGUGCGCCUUUUCCUCCAGAAUCGCCAUCUCAGGAGUAACGACGGCGUUCUUGUCUUUCGACAACGGCGCCCAGAAGCCUUGCUGUUUCAACAAAGCCCGCAUCUUGAUCUGCCAUAAGCUGAAACUGUUCCUCCCUGUGAAUUUGUCGAUUUUCACGUUCAAAGCAGACAUCUCGAAUUCUCCAAGAACACCGAUUAACCGAGAGGCUCUGAUACCAAUUUGUUGUGCGGAAUUUGAGAUAAUACGAGAAAAUAUAAACGCGAAAAACAAGACAACAGAUUUACGUGGUUCACCAAUAAAUUGGCUACGUCCACGGGAAGAGAGGGAGCAGUUUUAUUAUGGAGAGGCAAAAACAGAAUUACAGAAUAGGGUUUGCCAUAGCGUCUAUAUAUAGUGCUAAACUACGCCCUAACAGGCUUGGGCCCAACAUACAGAAUUGACAGAAAAUUAAGGGCCCCCGUCCUUUCUGUUUGUAGCGGGUCCGAUUCAAGGCAUUCAACAUAUCGAUUAGUUUAAUGAGUUAGCUUUUUACGCAAUUCUUUUGAUAUUUAGGUAUUUUCUUUUCCUUAAGUGAAAUAACGUUUUACAGUUCUUUAUUAUCUAACAUUACAUCUAGUUAGUGGUUCUCGUGCUGAUAAUUUUCUUUUAUUUAGAAUGUAUAUCUAGGUGGAGCUUUUGAGUAUAUAUUACUCCCUCUGUUUAGAAAAGAAUGACUCUACUUUCCUUUUAGUUUAUUUCAAAAAGAAUGACCUCUUUCCUUUUUUGGCAACACUUUAACUUUCCGUGUGACAUGUUUAAGACUACACAAUUAAGGGGAAUUUUGAUACAUUUGAUAUAACGUUAAUUUAGAACUACAAGAUUAAAAAAUUAUCUUUUUUUUAAACUUCAUUCCAAGAUAAACUAGGUCAUUCUUUUUGAAAUAGAGUAAAUAGUUUGGAUGAAGAAAAUAUGCAGCUGCAUCAUCGUGGUUGAAGAAUGAAAAUUAUUGGAGUAGCUUUGCACUUCUUUUGUUGGUUUUUUAAGAGGAUAUUUUACUAGCAUAAUGUGAAGUGUUAUGUUUUUAAUUUUCAAUGUUAAAUAGACUUAUUUUUUUAUAAACUAUUUGCUAUCGCUGAUCAUGUGAGGAUCUUGAUAAUCAAAACUUGUAGAUAUCAAAUUGAAAUGAAAUGAUCAUCGAGCAAUUGUCUGGAUGUGGGUUAUUGAGCAGUUGUCAGGUGUCGUUUCUCUUCGUAUCUUCUUCUAUAUCGAUGUGUUGUAUGUUAUAAAAUCCUCAUAUUUGUGGUUGUUUGCUUUAGUUUGCUGUUGGGUUUAUGAUGUCUAUAUGUGAUGGGUAUUGUUUCUUAGUAGUUUCCUUUAGUUCUAAGUCGUUUUCUUAAUCGUUAUUGCUUUGUUGCUUCCUUUCCCGGAUUUGCUGCUUGAUUCUGUGAUUAAGUCUAGUUGAAGCUUGUGGGUUUGCAGCUGGUGUUGGUAUUUCUUGUUUACUCUUUUGAGUUUUGUUCUUGAAUCUGCUACCUGAUGUUUGUUGAGUCUGUGCUAUUUUGUUUGCGAUGUGAUUCAUGUGUUGCAUUCAAGUUUGAUACUGUUUAAAGUUGUCAUUUAAUGUAUAGUGUAUCCACAUUUUUAUUCCAAUAGUUUAGUUUUAUCUAUCUUUUGAAUAUCUUCGUGGUCUUAUGACCUAAUGUGGUGUGCUUUAAUCAAGUUUUGCCUUCUAAAAUACUUACAAUUAAUUACCAAUCAAGUUGGUCUGAAAUCUGGAAAUUUUCUUGUAUAACUAUUCAAGUCUUAGUUUAUGUUGAAGUUUGAUCUUUGAGAUCAUUUGAACUGGGACAUUUUUUCAAGAAUGUUAAUUCCCGGUAAUUUUUCUUGUAUUACUAAAUGUUCAGCAAUCUUGUUUAGUCCCCUUAUGUAAAUUCCCUCUAAUUAUUUAUGAUCUAACUAGUGCAUCAAUUAGAUGAAUUUGUAUGCUAACUUGAAUGUUGUUAAGUGAUUUCUUUAUGACCUCAUUGGGUUAUGCAUUAUAAGUACUAAGUUAAAUAUCACAUCAAAAAAUUGUAUGCUUCAUUGAAUUUUCUAGAUAAUUUUGAUAUCGCUGUCGUAUGAAAGUCCGCUAGUUUAGAACCAAAGUGAUCAAACUGCUUCUGCCUAAAAAUUAUCUACAGACAACGCUGGACAAAACGAAAGAGUAUGACAACAAAUUAUCUGCAAUAUAGGAAUAUUGGCUUCUCCUAUUGUAAAACUUAAAUACUCUUUAAAAAACCGAUAAAAUCGAAAGAAUCGAAAUCGAAAAAAAUAAUUUAUAUUGGUUUGAUUUGGUUUAUCAUCACAUCAUACAUCAUCAUAUAUAUUAUUAUAAGUGGGAAUCUCCAACCUUCAAAGUUGGAUUACCAUUUUGCCCCUCCACUAAAUUAAAAUAAAUUAAUUUUAUUUUUUAAAUACUAAUAUUUAAUUACAUAAUGGUAGAAUAUGAAGUCCAACAACUAUCUUUAAUUUUUUAAUUAUGACAUUAUAAUAAUAAUUAAUUAGUUUAAAUUAAUUUAGAGUAGAAAAAAAUAAUGUAUGAAAUUCUUCGAAUUUCGUGAUUCUUUGGAUUUUGAAAUUAAGAUAAAUUUAUCUAUCAUGAAACAAUAAUGUAUGAAGCUCUUCAAAUUUUGAUACUAAAAUAAAUUUAUCUAUCAUGAUUCAAUUUGGCCCAUUAAAAAAAAUUUGGUAGAUAAAAAGACAAUCAAAUAUCACUAUAAAAACCAGUUAAUUGCUUCUUAGGUCAUCACAUCAUUUUCUUUUCUAUCAUUUACUAUUCUCUUUUCUUCUUCUUAGAUUAUGAUAUACAUAUAUGUCGUCAGGAAGCUAAAUGGGGAGAAGAACAAAUAGUUUCAUUUUGAAAUUAAAAGAAAAACUUUCUUACAAAAUAGUUCAACCGUUAAACUUAACAAUUUAAGAGAUGACUUAUAUAUUCCUUUAGAUCUUUUUUAUGUUAGAUUAUGAUAUUAAUUUUUUUCAUUUUUCAUUUUUGAAAUAAGGUAUGGUUGUUCAAAAUGGAUUUGGUAUGCAAGCCAUAUGUUUAUGCAAUUAUAUAUUAUUUCGCAUUUUUAGGAGUAUGUUAUAAUACUUUUAAGUGUUAUUUAAUGGACAACUUUCACACAUAACAAACGUAAAAUUCAUAUUUGUAUGCUAUAACAAAGUUUGCAUAAUUGCGCUCCAUAGCAAACAUACAUACAUACAUACAUACAUACAUACAUACAUACAUACAUAUAUAUAUAUAUAUAUAUAAAAAAUUCGUUAUACAUAUACAAUUGAAACGAAUUGUAUAAUUAUAAGUGUACAUGACGAUAAUAUACAAUUUGAAUUUGUAUAAAAUGAGAAAGAGAGAAAGGCAAAAGAGACUUGGGUAGGGAUUAUACAAUUGAAUCGAAUUGUAUAAAAUGAGAGAGAGAGAAACUAUAUACAAUUUGAAUUUGUAUAAAACGAGAAAGAGAGAGGCAAAGGAGACUCUGGCAGGGAAGUACUUUUUUGUAUAAUUAUAAAUGUAUAGGACAAAAAUAUAUGUAUCUGCAUGUGUAUAUAUAAUUUUCUCUCGCUUUAUACAAUUAGAAACACAAUUUAUACAAUUCUAUUAUAUAAAGCGAGAGAGCGAGCGAGAGAGCGAAAAUAUGAGGGAGAGAGGGACUGACAAACAGUUUGUUAUGGAACACAAAUAAAUCAAACGUUAGCUAGUAUAAUUAUUUUAUAUUAUUAGUUUGUCAUUCUAUACAAUUACCCCUUAUUUAAUUGACAAAAAAACUUCUAUUAAUAUAUGUGAGUUUGAUAAUACUUGAAUAGUUUAUACAAAGUAUGUUUUUGUUUUAAUGAAAGUAAUUUAAAUAAAUACAUAAUAGUGAUGUUAGGGAAAAAUAAUAAUAAUGAUUUUAAUAUAAUAUAAUAUAUAUAUAUAUAUAUAUAUAUAUAUAUAUAGUCGUGGGACUCACGUGUCGAGAACUAGUAAACUAAUAAACAGAUAUAAUUGAUUUGACUUUUUUUUAUAAUACAAAACCAACCAACCUAUGUACACCCUUAGUGAUAGCAUUUAGAAAAAUUAAAAUAAAUAUACUGCAAAAAAUAAUAGGCAUUCAAUAAAAAUACACAAAUGUGAUUCUACAUAUCAUCACACAAAAGCCACAUAAAAGAUAAAAUUUCUUAAUAUGUGUCCCACAAAAUUUUAGGUGUAUAAUUGAAAAUUCGAGACAAAUUAAACGAUCUAUUUAUAUUAUUCCUUCAAAUGCACUAAACACUUUUUUUUUUUUAUAAUUUUCUUCCUCUAAUGCCUUCAUUUGUAGUCCUUAUAUGAAUCUACCGCGCACAAGUGAAAAUUAGAUAAUGAAUAGUAUUCAUUACAAUUAUUCAGUAUAUAUCGAUUCUUUGUUAUAAUAUACGUACAUACGUACGUAAAUACGUCUUAGAAAAUUUUUUCGUAGAAUGUUCACUACUUGUACAAGAUCAUGAUUAAGAACAGACUAAAUUGAGAUAACUAAGAUGAAGACGAUCGUAAUUUGACAUGGAAUUAAAAGGAAGAAAGAUUAAUUUGACAUGAUGAAGAUGAUGACGAUGACGAAGAAGAUGAUUAGCUGGAAAGGCUAAAACGAACUUGAACAUCGAGAUCCUUCAACCAAGUUUGGCCUUGUAAGAAGGAUUCAACUGUGUAAUUCAACGCGAUAUCCUUACUUAUUGUGCCUUGAUAUCCAGCCCAUUUAACUCUGGAGCCCGUUCCAGAUCCAGCUCCUCUGUUGCUAUAUUCCCCGAAAUACAGAGUGCUUAAUGCAUAGUCCCCGUUUGUAGCCUCCCAUCCUUCUGGAUCAAUUACGUCAGUAAUGUCCGUUUCCAUUACAAUCGUCCUAGAGUAUUCCUUCAUUGGUCGACCCAAGUAACUCUUGAACUUUGAUUUUUCAGGUUCAAGUGUAUCGUCUGCGAAAAUGCUACAACUUUGCAAGACAGUCCCUGUAGUUUGGCGCUUGCUCAACCUUCCUUGUGCGGUAAUGACGUUCUUUUGGUCAUUCAUUGGUUUCCUUAGGUAAAUUUGACAGUUUUGGAACACAGCAGCCGCGUUUCCUGAUAUGAUGUCAACUGUGCCUGUGAUGUAACAUCCACGAUAAAAUUGUCGAUAGGCCUGAGCAUAGAUCACACUUUGGUGACCCUCCAUACGACAAUUCAUAAAUAUUGCAUGAUCAGCUUGGACUCGUAGAGCCACUGCUUCUAAUUUUUCAGGACCCGCUGUGUUACGGAAUCCCAUCUUAUAUGCAAAAAAUCCAUCUCCUGAAAUAGCUGCACAAGACAUAGGGGAAAUAAGAAGAAUAUAAUUAACUUUACAAUAUAAUGUAACAUUGGUUAUUUUCUUAUAUCGUCAAUUAAACGUUAUAUAAUAACCCCAAAUGAUAUUGUCCGCGUCAACAAAGAUCCGAAGAGAUUAUUUCAUUGGUCAUGGUUGAAGGGUCGUAUGGUAGCUGAUUAGAGUUUUGCAGAUAUUAGUAAUACAUUAGUUAUGCAGAGUUUACUUAUACCACCUUGUAUCCUGCAUCUUUUAUUCAUUAUUACUUACCAACUGUUGCGGUUUGGUAUGUUGUGAGGUCAUCCACAAUGUUUUUGCUGCCGGAGAUAAUACUCUUUUGGGAUCCAUCUCCAACAAAUGUAAGAUUGACUUGUGACACAACUACAUUUUCUUCAUAAACUCCUUCUUUAAUAUAAAUAAAGAACCUGCAUUGUUAUCAUUAUAUAUAAGAAAAUUGGAAGAUCCAACUAUUAAUUAAUUGCAUUUGUAAAAAAAAUGGAGUAAAUAUUUGUACCUUCCUUCAAAGCUUUGUGGAACUGCCUUUAAGGCUUCAUUUAUGGAACUAAAAUUACCACUACCAUCUUUUGCAACUGUCAUGUUUAUAAAAGACUUCAUGUCUUUGCCUUCUUCUUCAUCCAACAUUCUUCUAUCACCUUGUUUAAUCCAUGCAGGAACACCUAAUCGUGUUGUUAGAAGACGUCUUUUAGCACUAUUAUUUGAUUGAGAGGAUGAUGAUGACGACAAUCCGGAGGCAACAACAAGAGAAUUGGUGGUGUGUUCCUCUGUUUUCUUCAAGGCGCUUUGCACCGUGGACUGGUCUGCUUCAGGGUAUCCAUCCACACACAUGCUUUGGAAUGUCAAAGCUGCACUUAACUUGUUAUUAAGUUCAGCGGUUGUUGUGGCGACAUCAUUAACGCCACCUUCAAGCAAGUAAAUCGAAGCGUUCAAGUCUUUUUGGCAUAACCAAGGAGGGCCAUACAAUCGUCAUGAGCAACGACCUUCUCUGGGAUAUCCUUGUUGAUUUUGUCUAGUUCUACAAUACCGGCAGCAAUCUCAUCGAUAGCUGCAGAUACGGUUGCCUUGAGAAGAUCUGUAGGUUGAGCACCAGAGGCAUUUGCUUGUACAACUUUUGAUAGAAUGUCCCCACAACUUUGACUGAAAUCUGUUCCCGCGCAUAUUGCUCCCAUAGCUCCUUCACCUUGUGGUGAGGGGGCUGGGGCUGCUGCUGCGUUGCCACCCUCGGGUGAUGGUGCAGCAGGUGCUGCAUCCCCAGCCGGUGCUGCAGCUCCGUCCACAUUUGGUGGAGGGGCAGCAGCACCACCUUCAUCAGAAGGUGGUGCUGUAUCAGCAGCCUCAGGUGGAGGAGGUGAUGCAUCAGCCUUAGGAGUCGGUGUUUCAGUUUCUUUUGGAGGAGGCGUUGACGCGUUCUUAUUAGAUUUACUAGCGGAGGAGGAAUCACCGCUCUUGUUUUUAAACACAACAAAAUAGACAACAG